rnacentral:lncRNA from 1 species
UUUUUUUUUUUUUUUUUUUGUUUUGGACUCUAAACAGGAUCAUUGAGCCGUAAGAAGUGAAGUCACCCUUACGUGGUGUUUGGCUUGUCGCAUCAAGCUGUAUUUGGAAUCUAAAAAAGUUGAACCAACCAUAAAGAUUCUAAACAAAAGGUAGAAGGCUACAAACAACCAAAGUAAAUAAAUGGCCACCUGUGAUUCUCAAGUCUCAAUUAGUUUCUCUCUUUUUUCUUUUAGUGAAAGUAGGAGGAUUCGAAUCCAAGACCUCUUGCUUACACUCUCUCCCCCCAUUUGUUGCAUUUGAAUUAUCUUAUUCAUCUAUUUCUCAAACUGUAACUUUCUAGUCUCAGACUAUUAAAUUAGAGAAACCAUCUUAAGCCACCGUAGUGGAUACAUAUUUUUUUUAGCAAGUAAAAGUUUCGAUGAGCUCAAUUUCGAUCACCAUCAUAAAUCAGGAUAAUGUUUUUGAAACCAUAGAUUAUUUACAUAGAUUCUUAUCGAUCGUCCACCAAUUGGGACCAUAGGUCACUCACAUAAAUUAUUACCGAUCGCUCACCAACACAAUUUUUAUAUUCACAGUAAAAGUCAAAUACACGAUCUUUUGUGAAGAAGUAAUCUAUUCUUAUCAAUUGAACCGACUUGUUUUGCACUCCGCCUCUUAAAAUGCAUCUACUAUGCUGAAACUUGUCGCUGCUUUCACAAUAAUGUCCUGUUUUGAAUAGUUUUAAAUACACGAUCUUUUACGAGGAAGUAAUCCGUUCCCACCAAUUGAACCAACUUAUUUUGGCUUCCGCCUCUUAAAAUGCAUCUACUAUUCUGAUACCUGCCGCUGCUUUCACAAUAACGUCCUGUUUUGAGUUUUUUCCCGAUCUCUUAACAAUAAUGUCAGGGAUGUGCCUUUAAUAUAAAAUAAAGUGGAUACUUUACGGUAGUUCCAUUGAUCAAAACAAUCUACCAUUCCGACUAACACUUGUACAACAAAAUAAAAAUCAAUCGGGCUGAAUUGUUUGGAAGACUAUUAAGUGGAUAAGUUGGUAGCUUUGUUAUGAUAAAGAUUAUUUCAAAAAUUGUGUUAGAAUACCGUCUAUUAUGGUACUUUUUAAUGUGACAUGUAUGAAUUUAAAAAAAUAAAAAAAAAUUAAAAUGUUUAUAAUAUAAUAAAAAUUACUGUAUUUUUUAAAUAACACUCUACUCCAAAUGCACUUACUCUCUACACCGUUUCUACAAUGCUAUCUAAUGAAUAUUUAACAUUAAGAUGGUGGUGUCACGUUUGCGUACUCCUUAUCAUAGGAUUUUCAAUUAAAUAACACCACAUUUUCAAUCAAAUAACCAUCAUCAUCAGACUUUGAAAGUUCUUCUCUUUUUAUAUUUAUUUUGAAAAAAAUAAAAUGGCUAACGAUUUGAUUAAUUUUCUUUUAUAAAUAAUAAAUAAAUCAUACACUGAUAGUACAUACAAAAUUUACUCUUCAUUUAAUAGGAGGGUUAACGAGACGGUGACAAAUAGUCCAAAUAACCCCUUUAAAAAGGUUGCAAAUUGGGAUCCCUCAUCGGUCUAUCCACAUCAAAUCAUUAAUCCAAAUUUCAGCCCAUAGUUCCCGAAGGAAAGGGGCAAAGGUCCCCUGUAGACUUCCCUCUCUAAAUCUCAUCUUUAAAAUGCCGACUUUUUCUUCAGGCUUUGCUGCCAAAUUCCCCUUUGCCUUAGUCCAGAGAAGUAAUUCCUUCCCUGGCCACCUGACAAAAUUUCCCAUCUUUUCUGACAAAAAGCAUAACCGCCAGAAUCUAACCAACUUAUCCGUCUGUCUGUUGAACUCGAGGUCCAACCAGAAUAAUCACUCUGCUUCAACGAUGGAAGAAAUCAACGGGUUGGAGUUUGACACACCAUUUUCAUCAGAAACAAAGGAUGAGUUUUCCAAAGAAUUGGAAGUUGCUGUUAAAGCAGUGCAUAUGGCUUGUAUGCUGUGUCAAAGAGUUCAAGAAAGAUUGGUUUCUGAAACCCAUGAGGCCAAUGAUCAACAAGUUCAUUCCAAGGAUGACAAUUCUCCUGUGACAGUCGCAGGUACAAAAUGUUCUAUCUAUCCUUAACUGACGUGAGCUGUUGUUGAAAUUUGACUGUUGACUGUGUUUCUUGUCUUUCAUUGGCUGGAAUUGUCCUUUAUGGUUAAAAUAUUAACUUCCUUGUGUUGGACUGAAACACUGCUGAGGCUGCUAAAAAGUGAGGGGGUUGGGGUCACAAUAUUCGGUGGAUUUUGGAAUAUGUAUUGGGAGCCAAUAUGGCUGUCAAGUUGCAACAUAUUAUCCAACUGUUUUGCUCCCAACUGCCGCAUAUUUCAUUUUCUAAUUGCUAAGUGGAAUCCACACGUGAUGAGGUAUAAGAGUUUAUUGUAGUCUCAAACAAGCUUCAAUUUCAGUGUUCUCUCUUAGCUGAAAAACGAAAGAGAUCCAAUGUUCUCGAGGAUAUUGGUCUUUUAGAUCGUGAUUUGGCCCAACCUACAACUAUUGGCUGUGACAGUGACAGUAGUACUAGUGGGUGAAAAAGGUUUCAAAAUUUUAAUGUGGGGAUAUAUUCAGAAGUUUAAGAACUAGUCAAAGGUCUGUUCUGCUGUGGAAAAAAAAAAAUGAAAGAAAAACUGAUAUCGGAUUCAUCAGUUACAGAAUUAAUAAUUCUGAUUUGUCAGUUAUAGAAUGGACUUCUAACUAUUAGUUAACUGUAGCGAAAACUCCUGGAACUGCUGUGAGCUAUCUCCACUUAUCAAGAAGCUGUUUUGGGUUUACAAGCUGCAAAUUAUGUCCAGCAAAUCUUUUGCUUGUUAAUCACUUUCUUUAACUUACUUAAAAGAAGGGCAUGUUCUUGGCUCGUUAAUAUUGUAAAAGAACUAACAGAUAUCCUGAUUUCAUAUGUGCUUUGGUUUAUAGAAGGUUCCGUGACUCAUCUAUCUCUUUGGCCAAUUUCGCUGCAAGGUUUACUUUUUAAUAGAUAAGGUGUUGAAUGGCGUAUGCACAAAUACAGCUCUAGUUUUCCUUGAGCCUAUUCAUGAUCUCUACAAAUUUUCUGUUGUUUUUUCAGUCAUCAGUUAUUUCUGCUGUUCUUGAAAUUGUCAUUUUUCUUUUAAAGUAUCAGAAACGUGCUGGUUUUAGUUAAAUCACCAAUUGCUGGAGACAUGAUUGACAAAGUCUAAUCGGUGGCUAGCUAAAAUGAAUAUUAUGCUCAAAGUUUUUUCUUUUCCCUGUGCUCCUGGGAAAAGCACAUUCAAAUAUUGUGGUUUAGUCUCCAACUUUUAGGAUAUCCAAGUUACUACUAGGCUGCGAUGGUGAAUUUUAUGUUUUGAGUAGUUUGGUGGUUUUGUUCAGCUUGUAACUGGAAGAUCCAUUUAAAGUAAUAAAAUUACUUUUAAGUACCAGAGAACAAAGCACAGUUCAACAGAUAGCUGGAAACUUUGCCUCAAGGGACAACUUUUCUUGUAUAGGAGUUUAUGUGAAAUUAUGUGUAUGACAAUAUGCUGUUCUUACUUCCCGCAUAUUUACCCUCUCUUCCACAGAAAAGCAAUUCAUGUAAAAUCAGCAUAUUUUCUUUUAAAGUCAAGUUUCCUGUAUAAUGCUUAAUCAAUUUUCCAUGAAGCAACUACUGAGUAAUAUGGAAGCAAAUAUCACACAUCUCAUGACUGGUUCAGUCAAAGUUAUGGUUCUUUUUCCCCCCUAGUUAAUCAUUUGAAAGUUCAUCAGAUUUAAUGAUUGUGUUCUAUUUGGAGGUCAUAAUUUGGAAUUCUUGAGAUCCUACAGUCAUCAUCUAUAAAACCACCAAAAAUAUCCCUAUUCAAAGCUGAUAAACUCAAUGUUCUUUUGCCAAUGUCACCUUUAAUGGUAUGCUAUGUCUUAAUGUCGUUAAGUAAAUAUUUUGCACAGGCUUAUGUAAUUAUUUCCAAAAAUUUUCUGCCCUUUACUUUCUAUCAAGUAUAUAUUUCUCUUGUUUCAUCAGGCCAUCAUCAUUUUUAUCCAAUUUUGGAUAAAUCAUCUAGAUAUUUGAUCUCCAACUUUGGAUUGCUAAUUCAACUAGUGUCUUAUUUGCGUCUUGCAAACAGAUUGGAGUGUCCAAGCAACAGUGAGCUGGGUCCUUUCUGAGGCUUUUGGCAGUGAAAAUGUUUCAAUUGUUGCGGAAGAAGAUGUUGAGGUACUGUCAAAGGCUAGUUCAGCUGACCUACUUAAAAAUGUGGUAAAGAAAGUGAAUCAAUGUUUAGCCAAAGCCCCACUAUUGGGACUGGAAGCUCCCUCGAGGCCUCUUGAUAUGAGAGAGGUUCUAAAUGCAAUCAGUCGAUGCAACUCAAGGGGUGGCAAAAGUGGAAGGUUUUGGGUUCUUGAUCCUGUUGAUGGCACCUUGGGCUUUGUACGUGGGGAUCAGUAUGCCAUUGCUCUGGCAUUGAUAGAAGAUGGAGAACCUGUCAUAGGAGUACUUGGAUGUCCAAAUUACCCAAUGAAGAAGGAUUGGCUGAGCUAUCAAAAUGGUUACCGCAGACUUUUAUCUAGAUUGACCUCACCAACAUCAGAAGCUUAUGCCAAGGGGUCUGUAAUCUAUGCCAGGAAGGGUAGUGGCAAAGCCUGGAUGCAGACAUUACUCCAUGGAGAUAAGAAGUUUGUUUGGCCAAACUCUGCAAGGCAGAUUAAAGUAUCCUCCAUUGGCAACCCUGCAAUGGCUACCUUCUGUGAACCAGUUGAGAAGGCAAAUUCUAGUCAUUCCUUCACAGCGGGGCUAGCUCAUAGUGUUGGAAUGAGGUGUGUACAUUUUCCCAUUCAUCUUAGUUACAUUGUGAAAUGCGAUGCUGGCUGAUAAAUCUUGUGAAAUUUCUUUUCUUAAUCAAUUUAGGAACCAACCGUUGCGUCUGUAUAGCAUGGUGAAGUAUGCAGCCAUAGCCCGAGGAGACGCUGAGGUUUUCAUGAAGUUUGCCAGGACUGGUUACAAGGAGAAGAUAUGGGAUCAUGCAGCUGGAGUGGUAAUCAUUGAAGGGGCUGGUGGUGUGGUAACUGAUGCUGGAGGACAGCCACUAGACUUCUCGAAAGGCAUAUAUUUGGAAGGUCUUGAUCGGGGUAUAAUUGCCUGUGCUGGAGCUGGACUGCAUGAGAAGAUCCUGAGCGCUGUGGAAGAUAGCUGGAACAGUUCUAGUCUUUAAUAUGUACUGUAAUUGAGUGGAUCAAGAAAAGUUAAAAAGACCUUGGGAUACUUUGUACAAAUGAUAGCAGAAGUUACCGUUUGUUCCUGGAGGCUUGCAUGGCUUUGCCUGUAAUGCUGCUGUUUCUCAAAAGAUAGUGAAGAUUUCACAUUUCUUACUAUAUUUGUUUCAUGGCAGUUAUCCUGCAAACGGAUGAAAAUGUAUUAUAUAUAAACUUUGAUAUCUGAUCCAUCGGUUGUUGAUCAGAUCAGAUCAGAGCAGUUAAUGUCAGGUAUUGCAAUUUUAAUCUUAUAGCGGAUUAAUUAAUUAAUUAAUUAGCUUGUAAAUCCAGACCUUGUCCAGUCUAGACUCGGGGCAUCUCCAGUUGCUGCAAAACUGAAGCGCAUGGGUUGUGGCCCAGAUGGGCCGCAUUAGGUUUUGGGCCACUCCUUUCAAAUUUAGGGAAAAAUAAUUGUUUUCAAAUUUAAUGACCCAAUCUGGUACUUACACCGGACCUGUCUUGUAAGCUGGAGCACGUGUGCUGCACUUGAACAACUCAUAUUGGGGUAGCAAAUAGUUUAACAACCGAAUAGUGGGCGUUGCUUUAUGGCCUUCAAUUGGUGUGGGACUUGGGGUCCAAGAAAGUGGAAGUAGAGGACUGCCUUUGCUUGGAACAAGGACUGUCAAUUGGGGCGAGCUUUGAUUAAUAAUCUUGUUCUUAAAAUCUCAAGCGUUGAUUUUAAUUAAUUAGUAUCUUGUACAUGUAGAAAAAUACAGUAAUUCUUUAGAUGGGAAAUUGUUGAAUUUGGGAAAGCCCGUUUUGGAACCCAAUGAAAUAAAAAGGCCACGCUGAAUAUUUGAAGCUCGAAUCGGCCAAGUCCGAAUCCAAUUGUUUCGUUUUUAAUGGGGCUCCAAAUUUGGACAGUGCACAACCCGGCCAAUGAGGCCCAAGUGAAAAGCCUACUUGGAACUUGUCAAUGCAGGGCAAACAACCGUUAGUUCAACUUAAUAGUAUGUAAUUAGUGUUUAGCCAUGCAUUAACAGGAAAUAAUAGUUGUUAAUAUGAUUAUCAUGAACCUAUAAAAUGCAUAAAUAAUUCAUAAUAAUAUCCUUGCAUAGUUAUUGAUAUUUAUUUCAAAAAAUUAUUGUAUCCAAAAAAUUCAACCACUAUCAAUUUUUAAAAUCUUUUAUGUACUAAUUUAUCAUAAUGUGAUAAUAUUCAUCAAAUAGUAUAUUGCAUAUAAUAAAAGAAAUAACAGGUAAUCUUUAAAAUAGUGAUUAAGAUUAACAAUAAAUGAAUAUUCACCUGCAAUUGUGUAUUUUAUUUUCAAUUGAAUACAAAAUAAAAAAAAAUUGCAGCAAUGAUUUUCUCAUGAAUAAUUUUUUCAGUUUCUAGCAAAGUUAAUAAACUUACUAAUGUAACAAUUGACAUAAAUGGAUAAAAAAUAAUUCAAACUUAUUAAAUUAGAUAGAAGUUGUCGGAAGAAAGAGAAAUCAUAAUUGGAUGAGAGUUAUCUUUAUGUAUGUCUCAAAUCGAGGGGUGUUAAAAAAAAAAAAAUCGAAAAGGAGAGUAACUAAGAAAACUGAAUUGGCAAUAUUUUAAAAGUUGCUCUCACCUGCCAUUGCCUGGACGCUAGAGGAUUUUAUUGACAAAUAGUCGUCAUAUUACAUAGCGAAUAGUCAAUCAUGUAAUUCAAGGCCAACCCAUCCUUGGAAAGAUGAAGAUCAGCAGAGUAGUUUUCCUGAGGGCCCAUUUUUCAGUCUUUUCCUGAGGGCUAAGUUUUAAUACAGUACUUUUAAUUCUGUUCCACAAAACCACGGGCGUCUGACUUCUUCUAUCAGGAAGAGAAAAAAAAAAACCACUUUGAAUUAUUGUACUUGAGAAAUAAAUAAUAUGCAUAAUUUUUCGUCUGAAGCUGCCACCAAAUAUUCUAUAAUUACACCGAUAUCUUAUUCUCAGUCAAAUUGCAAGAUGUUUUUUUUUUUUUCAUCCAAACAAACUAUUUUACAUAUGAAUGAUUACUUUUAAAUACCUUUCAAUAUUGAAAAGGUUUCAGCGGAAGAAGUUUUCAUUCCUGUUUCUUACGCAUUCGUCAAGGAUAUAUAUACAUACAGCCCAAACCGUGGAUAUCGCUACCGAUAGCUACUGAUCCUAUUUGAAUACAAGUAUAGCUAAGGAUAACACCUAAUCAGCUAGAUAUCUCUUUACCAAUUCAAACUGAUAACCAACUCUGUUACAGAGAUAUACAUUAACUCUGUUACAGAGAUAUACAUUAUCCCUAAUACCCCCCCUCAAGUUGGAGCGUGAGGAUCACGAACGCCCAAUUUGCGAAGAAGAAACUCAAACUGAUCUCGACCCAAAGCUUUGGUUAGAAUGUCUGCUAACUGGUCGUGACUUCGAACAUAAACCGUUUUGAUCAUACCUUUCUGUAUUUCAUCGCGAACAAAAUGGCAAUCAACUUCGAUGUGUUUGGUGCGUUCAUGAAAGACAGGAUUGGCAGCUAUAUGCAUCGCAGCUUGGCUAUCACAAAAUACUCCAGCAGAUUGAUCAUGAUGCACUCCCAAAGACAAUAACAAACCCUUUAGCCAUUUCAAUUCACAGACCGUGGCGGCCAAGGAGCGAUAUUCCGCUUCAGCAGAAGAGCGAGAAACCGUAUGUUGUUUCUUGGUCUUCCAUGAAAUCGGAGAGGGCCCAAGAAAGAUGAAAUAACCUGUAAGUGAUCUCCGAGUUAAUGGACAACCUCCCCAAUCCGAAUCGCAAUAAGCUUUCAGUUCAAGAUUGCAAUCAGCGUUGAGUAAAAUGCCUUGUCCUGGACUACCUUUCAAGUAUCGGACUAUGCGCAAGGCUGCCUCCCAAUGCUCUUUCCGUGGCUGGUGCAUAAAUUGUGCCAAAAUAUGCACACCAUAGGACAGCUCAGGCCGAGUUAAGCUCAAGUAAAUCAAACGUCCUACCAGCCUUCGGUAUUGAUCAGGAUCCUGCAGCAAAUCACCUUUGGCUAAAGCGAGAGAAUGAUUCUGCUCCAUAGGAAACUUCGAAGGUUUAGCACCCAAUAAUCCUGCUUCAUUAAUGAUAUCUAAAGCAUAUUUCCGUUGACACAAGAAAAUCCCGUCAGCAUUUCGAGCUACUUCAACGCCCAAAAAAUACUUCAAAACACCUAAAUCUUUCAUGUGAAAACACUGGCGCAAGUAUGAUUUGAAUGCAUUGAUCAAAUGCGUUUUGUUUCCAGCUAUAAUAAGGUCAUCCACGUAUACUAACACAGCCAACUGGAUCCCAUCUCGUAUCAAAGUAAACAAGGAAUAAUCAGACUGUGACUGAAGAAAACCAUACCGUUUUAGAGCUUCAGCCAAUUUUGCAAACCAACAACGCGGUGCUUGUCGUAAACCGUAAAGGGACCUUCUCAAGCGACACACCUUCCCGGGUUGGUCAGUGUGAAAUCCAGGAGGUAGUUUCAUAUAAACCUCUUCGGCUAAGUCUCCAUGGAGAAAGGCAUUAUGAACAUCCAUUUGAUGAAGUCCCCAUCCCUUAGCUGCUGCCACAGAGAGAAAUGUGCGGACCGUAACCAUUUUUGCUACUGGUGCAAAGGUUUCAUUGUAGUCGAUCCCUUCAACCUGGUUGUUGCCAAGAAUUACCAAUCGCGCCUUGUAUCGUUCAAUGGUCCCAUCAGAAUUAUACUUAAUUUUGUACACCCAUUUGCUUCCUAUUGCUUUCUUCCCUGGUGGUAAGUCAACAAGAGUCCAUGUGCCAUUUUGUUUGAGCGCAUCAAUCUCUUUUUGCAUAGCUUCUCUCCAUCGGACAUCUUUAACCGCUUGAUGAUAAAAUCUUGGCUCAAAAUUGGUUGUGAUGGCUGCCAAGAAAGCUUGAUGACCUGGUGAGAACUUUGUGUAAUCAACAUAUUGAGCUAAGUCAUAAGACGUACCUGAGAAUGGUGAUGGAUUGGCUGAACUUGCAGAGGGACUUGCACUUUGAACUGCAUAAGUCACACAAUCCUUCAGCCGUGUAGAGACUUUCUUGGAACGAAGGCCACGACCAAGUGCUGUCACACCUUCUACUGUCUCUACGUUCUCCAUUCGAGGUUCAAUUGUUACACCUCCCUGCCUUACGUUGGCAUUGUCAUUCGGCACACAAUCUAAACGUUCAUGAGUUUCACGAACAUGAGCAAGCUGCUCCUUUUCCUUGUCUCUUGUCUGACCGACUACCUCUUCUUCAAGGUAAUCAUCUAUUGAAUUAUCCGUACAGGUUCGAACAUGAUCAGGUGUGUGGUCAACUGCACAUGGAAACUCAUCUUCACAAAAUACAACAUCCCGAGACACGAAAUACUUUCGUGUUUCUAAAUCAUACAACCGCCAACCUUUCUGUCCAAACGGAUAACCCACAAAGAUACACUUCCGGCUUCGAGGAGCAAAUUUGUCCUUCGUACGAUUCAAACUCUGUGCAUAACACAAGCAACCAAAUGUACGAAUUGACCGAUAAUCAGGCAAGUGACCAUAUAGCAUUUCAUAAGGUGUUUUUCCUCCUAGUAAUUGAGAAGGGGUACGAUUAAUCAGAUAUCCAGCAGUUAACACACAUUCUCCCCAAAAUCUGAUUGGUAAGUUGGUCUGAAAUCGUAAAGCUCUAGCCACAUUCAGUAUAUGUCGAUGCUUUCUUUCCACUCGUCCAUUCUGUUGGGGCGUUCCCACACAUGAAGUUUGAUGGAUUAUCCCUUUAGCAGAGAAAUAUCCCUUCAAACUGACGAACUCACUGCCAUUAUCACUACGAACUAUCUUAACAUUCUUAACAAAUUGUCGUUGAACCAUAGCAACAAAAUUUGGCAAAAUAUGGCCAACUUCAGUUUUAUCUAUCAUCAAAUAUAUCCACACACAUCUGGAAAAAUCAUCAACAAUCGUAAGAAAAUAAGAUGCAUUACAAGAACUCGAGACUCGAUAUGGUCCCCACAAGUCACAAUGAAUCAAUUCAAAUGUUUCACUAGCUCUACUAUCACUAGAACAAAAUACUUCUCUCGUUUGCUUAGCUUUAAAACAAGCAUCACAAGUUUCAUUUGAACCUAAUUGAAUCUUAACCCCAGAAAUUAAACCUACGACCUUUGAAGACGGGUGCCCCAUUCUCCGAUGCCAAAGAUCACAUGAAUCCAACGUCCGAGUUUGAAGUGCUUGGACUGGCGUCUUCUUUUUGAAGUAAUAAAGCCCCUUGCAUCGUUCACCCGCUCCAAUCACCAUCCUCGAAGUGCGGUCCUGUAUCAAACAAAGCUUAUCAGUGAACAACACAUUACAUUUUGAGUCAUCAACCAAUUGUGAUACUGAGAUUAAAUUGCAAUGUAAUCCCGGAGCAUGAAGAACAUUGUCUAAUUGAAUAUUUUGUCCCAUCCGAAUCGACCCUUUUUGCAAUGCCAGCACCUGUUCUCCAUUAGGCAAGCCAAUGGGACAGCCUAAUAUCUGGUUCAAGCUAGAUAGAUAGCUCGAAUUUCCUGUCAUAUGUUGUGUAGCGCCAGAAUCAAUUAUCCAGAUAAAAUUUUCCUUACCAGUCAUCUUCUCAUUACUCCCUGAUUCUGAGUUGCAAGCGUUCAACAAACUCACAACUGCUGCCCAUUGUUCAUUUGUCAGUCCUUUAGGAGUAGCAAAAUCCUUUGUUGCAGCAGUGGAUUCUUCAAUUACUUGAGCUGCAUUAACUCGUGCCCCAUUUCGUCCUCUUCCUGACAUCUUGCCACGUCCUCUUCCUCCAGUCUGUCUUCCUCGACCUGAACCAGACAUUUUAGGUCGAUCACCCCACCAAUCGGGAUAUCCAAUCAGCUGAAAACAUCCAUCAGCAUCAUGCCCUUCGCGAUUGCAGUAUUUACAAACGGCACUCCUAUCCUUGAUUCCUGUUUUGGCCUGAACCACAAAGCUAGCCGCUUCGUUGUUAAUCUCUUUUUCCCUGGAGAUAUUUCGAACCCUUUCUUCUUGGCACAUCAAGGAAUACGCCUUGCUCACACCAGGCAAUGGAGUUGUGCUCAAAAUGUUUGAUCUCACUGUUCUAUAUGCAUCGUCUAACCCCAUCAGAAAUUGGUGAAGUUUUUCUUCUUCUCGUUUCUUUGUUAAUUCAGUUGCCACAUUACACGUACAACCCCCACACUUGCACGUAGAGAUUGCGUCAUAAUUCACCAGUUCUUCCCACAGUCGCUUCAAUUUAGCAUAGUAACUCAUAAGGGAGAGUCCUUGCUGUUUGCAAUUUGCUAAUUCUGUCUUCAGUUGCUGUACUCGUGCACCAUCAGUCACUGAGAAACAUUCUUUAAUGUCUUCCCACAAGUUCUUUGCAAUCUCCCUGUGUGUCAAAGUAGAUCGCACCGUUGGCUCAAUCGUAUUCAUCAUCCACGAUAUAAGCAUGGAAUUCACUGUCCACCAGUCUUCUAAUUCAUCGGAAUCUUCAUCUGGCUGUGCUAUGGUUCCAUCAAUGAAUCCGAAUUUCUUCUUGGCCCUGAGAGCAGUUCGGAUUGCUCUAGCCCAUUCAUCGUAAUUAUCCUCCUUCAACUGUACCUGGGUGAUUAUAUUUCCAGGAUUAUCAUUGGCAUACAAGGUGUAUGGCGACACUAUUUUCUUUCCAUCUCCUUCCAUGUUUUUCCAGUUGACAGAAGGUUCUUGCUCUGAUACCAUGAAAAGGUUUCAGCGGAAGAAGUUUUCAUUCCUGUUUCUUACGCAUUCGUCAAGGAUAUAUAUACAUACAGCCCAAACCGUGGAUAUCGCUACCGAUAGCUACUGAUCCUAUUUGAAUACCAGUAUAGCUAAGGAUAACACCUAAUCAGCUAGAUAUCUCUUUACCAAUUCAAACUGAUAACCAACUCUGUUACAGAGAUAUACAUUAACUCUGUUACAGAGAUAUACAUUAUCCCUAAUAAAUAUCAAGAAUUGAAGUUGAGAAAGUAUCAAAACAUGGUUACAACUGAAGUUGAGAAGCAAAAUGAAAUACUUGUCCAAAUUGUUCUGUCUUUCAAGUUCUCCAUCUGUCGAAGGCUUUGACCUUUUUUUUUGUUCUUUGGUCGAUACGAUAGACCUACAAUUAUUAUAUGCUACAGGAAGGAAAGAACCUGAAGAGGUCAAAAGAAAAUCGGAGAAGAUUGAAUCACCUAUCGAAGUCACUUGAAGUGGCUUGCCACAUUAUUGUAGCCAACGGUUUAUGCCUGACCUCCCACCCCACCAACUUUGAUCAUCCUAGUUUUCUUUGCUAGUAGCAGUACAUAUACAAUACAAAUUGUGCACCUGGACUUCAUUUCCAUGCAGUAACCGUACAAAGUAUUUGACAAACGGUGUUCUGUCUCUGUCAUCUGGGAAUGCAACCAUGCCUAUAAUAGUGGAUUCACCAAGAAUUCGACCCAAAAAAUAAAUUUAAAAGGAAAAAUGUCUAUCUCAACACAAACCAAAAUACUGCAUUCCAGCUAGAAAGCAAUAAUCACUCCAUAGGAAAAAAUUUCUGGGGAUUUGCCUACGUCACAUUCAUCCAAUACGUUCAAACAAGAUUUCCGGUGCCGGUGAAAUUAAUUUUUUGAUCAAAUUUGCUUAAAUAAACACGUAAAGGAACCGACAUGGCAAAUUGAAAUUUAUGCACAGAUAUGAUAUGACAGAUGAGGUGAUGCCUCCAGCAAGUUGGUUUAGUCAACAAACAAAUUGAAAAAAAGUCAAUAAUACUGAGAUGGCCAUUAAUGGGGUCCGACAAUCUUGACUUCAAUCCUUCAUCUGCUCAUCGUAAUCUGGAACCGUGUCCAUGGUCUAGUUGGUGCGUAGUAGUAGCAGCAGUGCAAAAUUUAAAGCCCAUUGAUAAAAAGCUGAUUUGACCAUAACCAUAGAGCUGCAUAGACUGGCUGGCUCACGAAAAAAAAAUCAAAUGCGUGUGGACUCUUACAGUUAUGCUCUGAUGAAAAAAUGAAAAUUUUGGAGCCUUAUCUGCCUUGACCUGAUGCUUAAUUCAAUGCGCGGUUGUCCAAGUCCUCCAUCUCCCCAGUCCCUAGCUACCGCGCCCUUCUUGUUAUUCGAUUACGCGAUUCCUGCUUGCAGAGGAAGAAUUGGGAUCGGAAUCAUAUUUGCUUUGGAAACGAGACGAAUGAUUAAUUCAGCUCGUUUUGAUUGCUAUUUUCUAGAUUUUUUUUAUAAAAAAUUAUACUGUAACGAUUUAAUAUAUGUGAGGUAAAAAAAUAUUUAACAAAUAUGAUUAUGAAAAGCGUGAAAGUUUUUUUUUUUUUGGCAGAAUACUUCAAUCCAAACAAGAACUUGCUACAAAUGGCGAAGGACAGAGGGCAACAUCUACCAAUUUGAUUUUCAUUGAAUGAUCUCCUAAUGGUCUGCCCGACAAUUAAUUCUUGAUACCCAUUGACCAAUUACUCGUUAGGAAAUCUUGGAUGCACUGUCGAUGUUAGGUUAGAAUUUAUGUCAAGCGCAUUGACAGUGGACCUUUUAAAGUACAAAUAUUUAACACAACGCUAUAAGUAUCGAAUUUAUGUCAGGUGCAUUGAUUCUCCUUUUUAGUUCUCUUGUUGAUCCUCCUCCGUUGGCAGUAUAGAGUUUUAGAUCGCUAUGAUAAUUCAUGGCUCCUGAUAUUUCCAUUUUUUUUUCCAUGUUUCGUUUACAUUUUACUUUCACAUAUACAAGUUCUUCAGAUUUUUGAUUGAUGCUAAAACACAUGAAGGAAAUUAAUACUACCUAUUUAAGGUACGUAACUGCACAUAAAAUAAUACAAAGAUAAUUUUUCUAAACACUGUCCAAGGUACAGGUGUGACGCCCCGAAAAGUAUAAGUGUGAGAACCCGGAAAUUUUCUAAUUUUUUAGGGUUUAUUUUUUUUAAUCGCCCGCCUUUUCUACAUUUUCUUUAUUAGAAAAAUUUUUCAGAUAAAGUUUAUGAGCAAAGAUAGUUUUAAAAUGAUUUUUCUAGUAUCGGUUAGUUUUUGAGAAAUUAAGAGCGUAUUUUGAACGUGGGACCCGCAAGUGCGGUAAAUGCAUUAUAUUUUUGACAACUUGUUGGAAUUUUGUAUUAAGUGAUAUUAUUUUACAAAGUGUUAAGAUAUUUGUAUUGGAGAGACAAAAAGAUAAGUUUUGAACCAAAAGGUGACAAGUGUCACCAUAAGAUUAAGUCUUGGGUUUGACUACUAUUCAUAACUUUACCAUUUAAUUAAAAUUGACCAAAAAUCUCUUCAUUUUGCAAGCUUCUUGGCUGAAGGUUCUUGCUCAAGAAAGAAAGAAAAGCUCUCAAUUUCUUCCUUCUAUUUCUUGCUCAAUCUUCAAAUCCAACCAAUAAAACUCCAAAUCAUUCCAUAAAAUCUCUUUGCUAAGUGGUCUUGAGGUGUUUUGUGGAGUUGUUUGGAAAGCUAAGGUGAUUUGUUGCUCUAUCUCUUGUAUGGCUAAGGUGAGUUGUGAAGAACCACUCUCCUCCCUUAAUUGAUGUUUAAUUCAUGAUUGGUGGUGGUAUAAGAUGCACUUUUAUGGAUUAUAUCUUGAUUUUGGUUGAAUUGGUGAAGUUUUAUAAUUUUUGGGGAUUUUUCUGUUUUCAUAUGGAUAUGAUUAUGGGGUCAUGUAUGAUGAUUGGAAAUGAUGUUUAAUGACUCUAGGAGGUGGAAAAAGGGAUUAAUUACAAUCAAUUUCUGUUUUGGAAGAAAAUUGAAAAACCUAGGGUUCAUGAAGCUACAUUCUGUCCGAAUUUUUAGGUCCUAUAUAGAGGCCGAAUUGGCCUUAGCUUAAAACAUGAAAGUUGUAGGGAAUGACAUUUUAGAGGUACCUACAAAAUUUCAGGUCAAUCAGAGUAGUGUAGAAUGAGAUAAGUCGAAAUUACUAUUGCUGUUCUGGUUUUACCCGAAUGUAAGAAUUGCGCCUGUAAUUGGUUGUUUUGGCUGGAAUUGCUUCCGAAUUGGUUGUUGAGGUCUUCUGAUGAAAUGUAUCCCUGUUUCUUAGAUUUCAGCUAGUUUUGGAAUUUCUGGAUUUGGACUUGGAUAGCCUGCUUUAUGAUGUUUCCGCUAGAAUGCGUUCUGUGAAUCUAUUUUUCCGGUUCUGGUGUAGUUUCUUGCAUUUUUGACCUGGUUACACUCGAAACUGGGUUGAGUGACCUUCUGUGAUGUUGUAACCCUAUCUCUUAGCUUCGAAACGGUGUAUCUUGCACCUUCAUCCGACAAUCGUAGCGCGAUUACCGUAAAAUGAUGUCAAAACCUGUUUUUCUGGUUUUGAGCUUAACUUUCAUUUCCGGACUUUUCCCUAGCUUGACUUGUACUUGUACUACUUGGAGCUUGCUGAAUGGCUAUUGAAUGAACUUGUUGUUGUGUGUGUACCUUUGGGUUGGAAUGAGGAAAUAAUGAAGCCAUGAUGGCUGGAAAAGUUAACAAAUUCAGGGGAAGUGCUGUCCGAACUUUGAAGGGAUUUGUUUGCAUUGAGUUUGUGAUCUAAGACUUGGAUUUGCGCAAGGCAAUGUUAUAUGCUGGAUGAUUUCUGAGCCAUGGAGGUGAGUGACCCUAAACUAUUUCCAAAGUACUUGUGAAAUGUUUCUUGCAUUAUGUACUCGAUUGCAUCUCAUGCGUGCUUGCAUGUGAAUUCAUGACAUGAUUUGGCUUCAAUGAGUUCUGGGAAAGUCUUGUGCUGGACACCAACGUCUCCACCAUUUUCGUGAGUUCGUGACAUGACGGAGCAAAUGGCUCCGGAGCUCAAAAAGGGGCUCCCUCCUAAUGUUAAUGUUAAUGUUAAAUGAUCUAUUUGAGCGUUGGGUGUUCAAGUGCUGUGAUUUCACCGGCUCACGAGAGCACUAAACGUACAUUUGAUCUCUGAAUCAUGACAUCAUCGAAAUGAUCGAAAUGCAACAUUGUGAAAUAUAUUUGUUUAAUGAUUUUCCUGGUUACUCGCUGAGCUUCUAGCUCACCCCAAAAAUAUUUUAUUCCCCUCCACAGGGCUCAAAGCGAAGGAAGGACUUGUUGUGCUUAUUCACAUGUCUGGAUGGCCUAUAUCUUGUACAGUUUGGAUUUGGAAAUCAUUUUUAUGUAUAGUUGAGAAUUGUUUCCGCUUCGCUUAUGACAUGUAAUUUUUGGAGAAUUUGAUGUAUAUUGGAGAUUUAUAUUGUAAUAUUUGAGGUUUAUUCUUGUAAUUCAUUGAGGACUGUAGUGAACGACUGAAUCCCGGCGAGAGCUGGACAGGCGGCCCGCCGAACCCUCUGGUUCGCCUUAGGGGGAGGUGGGGCUGUCACAACAGGUGCGCAGGAGGAGGGUUGAGUUGGUUAUUAAGGUGAGAGAGAUUAAAAGUAGAAAAUCCUUGAUUUACAACAUCCCACUUUAAAAAAAAAAAAAAAAAAGGUACAAAUACACAACAAAUUUUAAAAGGGAUUUUUGCUUGUUUACAUACUCAAAAAAUGUUAUCUCCAUCGAUUAAUAGACUUUCCUGACUAAAUUUCAUUUUUACCAAAAAUAAACAUGUACUCCCCAUUUAAUCCUAACCCUAGGAGAUAUGUUAGACCAAGUCAUUGAAGAAUUACUGAUUUAUACUACAAAAACAAGGCAUGUAAUGAACAUGAAUAACCUUUGUCUUCUGCUUUGUAUUUUGACAAUUUUUAAACAGUUUCAGGAGCUAUAUAUAUAUAUAUACACACACACCCGUCACCUUUGAGUCUUUAAUGGCAACUAGCUGCCAGCAAUGUAUUGAGGUUACCGAGGGAUCUCAUGUUAAUUUGCACCUCAUGAUGUUUAUUCUUUUAAUUUAUACUAGUUUAAAUUUUGCUACCAAUAAUAAAGUACUAUGAGAGAAAAAAAUUGUCAUCUUCGGUAGCCAAAGAAAAAGAGUAGGAUUUAGACCAUUAUAGUCCAUAGUUUUGCCUUGGUCUGCAGUAUUACGAUGCAUGAGUGCAUGAAUACAUUAUAGACCAUUCAAACAAGUAAUGACCCUAAGACUUGGAAGUGUCUGCCCGUGCAUCACUUCACCUUUUAUAGCAAGUAACAUAAAUAUAUAUAUGCUAUCUAUAUCUCACUGUAGUUUAAAAGAAAUUUCUGGUUCAAAGAACCAAGGCGAGUAGUCAAGUUACCUCCUGUUGUUGUUGUUGUUGUUGUUUUUUUCCCCUCUUCUGUUUUUGGUUCAAUUGAGAUUCUCGGAGUGCUGAUAUUUGUCUCGUGGAAUGUUAUGAAUAGAUUAGAAGUCAUAAGCACAAAAAUGGGUGCUUAGACAUAUUAUUCAGUAAAGAUAUAUGAUCAAUCUAAAGUUUCAUGAAAUGCGAUUUCUUCGACAACUAGCAUGCCCUAAUUAAUCUCACUUAGAACUAGCUGCUACAAAUGUAACGAAGGUUCGAUUCACUUUGCGUUACAAAUUAGCAGUGAAUAGUGACUCGGCAUUCUUGGAUUUUGUUGCGAAUUCAUAAAAUGCUCGACUAGAUUAAUGUCAUCGUGAGGGAGUAUUAAGUUGCACGGUACAAUGAUAGGAAAUUGUAAGUAGCAUGUAACGUUACACAACAAAAUAAUCCAGCCAAACCGAUGUUCAUGAAUCCAUAGCAAGGCCUUAGUCUUUUGCGCAAGAAAACGUUUUACUAGUAAGGAAUGCAAGGGGCGAAAGUAAGAGGAAAACAAAAUCCAGACAAUGAAUCGAACCCUCAAUCCUCAUUUCUAAGAACAGUGAACGAAAGAAUCGACCGUCCAAUACCAAUGAAAUUUCCAUAAAGGUCCGUUCUACACAAUUUGGAUGAUAAAUAACAACGCAGCCUUCCACUAGUGCACACUUAGACCACUCCCACCACCAAUCCAAAUGUCCCUCCCUCUUGUGUCAAAAGUCUAUUGGAUCAUAUCCAAACAACGCGCAGCACAACAGCCAGUAGUGAAAAGGAACUGGAAAUAUCCAACAAAUGUCAACGUAUUUAUUAGGAUAAUGGUUCUUUACAGGAAUGUGCAAUAAUUAAUGCAUCCCUUCUCCAACCUACCCUUCAUUGACGCACAUAUGGUCACACUGCCAAUUCGAGGUUGGUCCGAACAUGUACGAUUGGUGUGUGUGUCUGUCUUCAAUUAGCACUAUAAGAUUUAAUGUACAAAUCAAUACUAAAUUCAGCGAUUGUCAAUUUUACGUUUUUGAAUGCUCAUCAAUUAUACAUUUUUCAUACACGAGCUAGUACAUAUUUGUUCAGAGAUCAAAUCUCUUAUUCUGCAUUUUAAAAAUUUAGAAUUUUUUAAAAGAUUUUAUUAGCAGGUGCUAGACGUUCGUUUGGAUUAAUAGUGGUUCAAUUCCGUUCAAAUUUCUUUCUUAAUCCCUUUGAAUCCCCUUUCCUAGUAUAGAGUAAGAGUAAAUAUAGAAUAGAAUCUAUCGUAUCUAACUAGAAAAAAAAAAAAAAGGAGUUGGUAUUUUUUUGUACAUCAAUUCUUACGGCAAAUACACCAGACUCAACACAAUGGCACCAAAUUGGUAUUUGCACCAAGUGCCCACAGUCAUACACGCACAGAUGCACACAGCUCAUGCAAAGAAAAAGUGGCAAUAGCCAAAGAACCCCCCCCCCCCCCCAACUGCCAUCCACUUGUCAGCUUUCUUGCUCUCCCCAUCUUAAAUGCUUGCCUUUUUAACUCCUUUUACUACUUAAAUGUUCUUCUCCUUAUUGUUGUCUUCCAACUCCUUGAAGCUGAACAGCUUAUAACGUCAAAUUCAAAAAAUCCCACAAAACAAGAAACCUCUCUCCUCAGAAUCAUGAAUUCCAUAGCUGCCACCUCUGUCAUCCUAGCCAUCUUCUUGAUUCUCGCGGCCUCCUCUUCCUCCGCAGUCCGACCCGACCCGAAUCACCCCGAUCACGCCACAGAUGAAAAGCCCCACCAGAGCCAGAGCAAAGGUGGGGGUGGUGAUGACAGCGGUGGGUAUGGAGGGUUCUUCGGACCCGGAGGUGGGUUCAACAUACCCGGGUACGGAACUGUUGGUGGGUACGGAGGGUACGGAGCCGGGUAUGGAGGUCCGAGCGGAGGGUACGGCAGAGGUGGCAUCAUAAGGCCAACUGUUGUGUGCAAGGAAAAAGGCCCCUGCUACCAGAAGAAGCUGAUUUGUCCCGCCAAGUGCUUCAGCUCAUUUAGCCGAUCUGGAAAAGGGUACGGCGCCGGUGGCGGUGGCGGUGGCUGCACCAUGGAUUGCAAGAAGAAAUGUGUUGCCUAUUGUUAAGCACAUAAAGCUGGUGGCUCCUCUAUGGUUGGGUUGGGCUCGGCGUUCUUGGUUACUACUGCUACUACUACGACUACUAAACUAGAAAAUGGUAUGGUGGCUGCUUUUGUUGCAAGAGUUUUCUAUAGUUACAGAAGUAUUUUAAGUAUUAAUAUGACUAUAUAAAGAAAAAAGGCCAUGUGAUGUAACUUAUGGUAUUGUUACUUGGUGUAAUGUGCGAGUAUGUGAGCUUAAUUAUGCAGCCAAUGAGAUAUUGUGAGGUAUUAUGGUAAUUUGGGUGUGAAUUUGGUCCUUUUUUUUUUGGGGUGAUUUAUGCUUGACAAUUUUAAUUCUUGAAGAUUUAAUUUGACCUGCGAGGAUGAAGUGAUGAUGGAGAUUAGCUGUUGGGUGUUUGGUCUAGUUCUUGAUUCACUCAUCUUUUCUUGAUUUUGUAACAAGUUUAAUGGUUACAUGGAUGCAAUACAAGGCUGACUUAUGGAUGGUUACAUGGAUGGUGGUGUUGUUGACUUGUUAUUUUCAUAGCUAAUUUUCGAUCGGGCCAUGAUAUUAACCAGAAAUUGUAACCAACUCUCCAAUUUAAGAUAGAUAGAUAGACGACAAAAGACCGGUGAGAUCUUUAUUGCGGGGGUAUCCUCUCCAAACCCUGAUUUGGGUUAUGUUUAUCCGCGUUCCAGGAAGGAUCCUCACCGACUCCACUUCUUCUGUUAUCGAAUGGAUAAUUUGGAAACUUUCAAAACUAAAAAAUCCUACAAGAGAAAGGAUUAUCGCCUAAUCCCAGAACAAACCAGACGAUUUCUGCUUUCCUGAUCCCAUCAUUCUUUAGAAAUAGCUCUUUUAGCUAUGUAUAAACAAAUCAAGACCUCGUCCACCCCUACAAAUUUAAGAGAAGUAAUCCAACAUAUUAUCAUUAACAGCAUCAUCACCAAUAGCUCCAUACCGUUCCAUACUUCGAUUGAGUGUAAAGCUAUGGAUCCACCGUUGUGUGACAGAGGGUGCGGUUUCUAUGGAAGCCCAGCUACCGAAAAUCUGUGUUCAAAGUGCUACAAAGGUCAUCUCAAAGAAAAAGAAAAAGAAGCUGCAGAAGCAGCAGCAGCCAAGAAUUUUGUCCCUGCUUUGCCUGUUCCUUUAGCAAGAGUUGGUUCUACGGUUUGUGACACUACUGAUAAUAAAAGAGCAAAGGUUGAAGUUUCUGGGUCUAGGAAAAGAUGCGAAUGCUGCAACAAGAAGGUAGGAGUAAUCGGGUUUGAUUGCAGCAGCAGAUGCGGGGGGAGUUUCUGCGGCAUUCAUAGGUAUCCAGAGGAGCACGCGUGCAACUUCGACUUCAAGAGUUUUGGUCGUGCAGUUUUGGCCAAGCAAAAUCCCGUUUGCAAAUCGGAUAAGCUAGAGACUAGAAUUUGAUUAGAGCCCACGCAUUCAAUCAAUGGUUAUAGCCCAUGCUAGAGACUAGAAUUUCACUAUAUCCAUGUGUAGAGGAACCAGAUCUUUUGCAUUUCAAUCUAGAUUACGUUACCAAACUAGGAAACGAUGACUUUUGGACUCCAAACUCUCUCCAAUCUUGCACCAAGCAGAGCAUAAGCUCAUUCUAGACUAUAUCCAUCGUAUGCUCAUGUUUAACGGUUUAGGUUUCAAGAUCACAGAGGUUAGACUGAAAAUGUUUUAAAGGUAUUUUUUGAUAAGUUGGAGGUCUUGAACUCUGACAAGUAUUUGGAUAAAUUCAAUCCACCGGAUUGUGGACCGUGUGGUCAAAAAUCUCGCUACCUGACUUCUUUACUAAAAUGUCUGAAGAUUGCUGAGUAAAAAGGGCGAUGUGACUUAUUUAUUUUCACAAGAUGUAUUUUCAGAUGAAAGAUCGGGUCUAUGUAAGACUUUACCCUUGAAUCCAGAACUUCUACUUAUUGUUAUUUCCACCUUACUGCCCAUCUAUUUUAUCGUGGCAAUACGAAGAGUCCAUGUAACCUUUUUAUCAGUCCUAUACUUUUAACAAAACGAGUAUGUUUUGACUGCUUGAAAUGUUUUAGAAUACUCCAGUACUUUUUAUGUUUGUUUUCUUUUUCUGAAGAAGUUGGGAUCGACAAGUAGAAGAAAAGGGAAAUUUUGAGUCUUAAAAAAGAAAAAUAAAAGAACGACGACAAGAAGAUGGGAAAUUACAUCUAACGGUAGCAUUUAUUAUGUAAAGAUGGGAAAUUACUUAUUGACAUCUUUUAACUUUUUGUGCGUUUUGGCAUUGUAACUAAAAGCACGGUCCGUUUAAAUUAGUAACGAGUGCGAGGAAUAUUGAGCAAUAGAAUGUUCAAGUAUUAGUUUUUUUUUCUUGGGGAAAAUAGUAAAAUUAAAUGGAGAAAGUAUCUAAACACAAACGUCAUAAUAAAUGUGAAUCUAUCUGUUCCAAUAAGUUGUGAAUCUAUGAUAUGUAUUUUUUUUUAUCUUUUUUCAUUGGGAUAAUUUGUGUGAUUUCACAUUUGAUUGCUUUUUCUCGGGUCUCAAAAGAAAAAAAAAAGUCGUGUCUCGUGAUGAAUGUGCCUGAGCACAUCUAAAGAUUGAUGGGUUGGUUUAAGACUCAUAAUACCAAAUGGAGGGGAAUCAACUUUAGUUUUGGAAUGCAAUCUUUCUUCCAAAAAAAAACAUUUUAUAUUUUUAAUGAAAGCACUUUCUAGUCAUAUUUUUGCCUCGUUACAAUACAUUUUUCUAUAAAAGCUCUAGAAAAUAACAAUCCAAAAUAUCUGGAAAUUGUACCGGUUUGUUUGGAUAGUGUAUUAUUUGAAAUAUUAUUUGGAAUAAUUACUGUAGCACUUUUUGUGAUGUGAUGCAUGUGAGAUAAAAAGGUGAUUGAGAAUAUAAAAAGGUGGAUUGGAAAAUGUGUUUAUGAUGCAAGCGAAAUAUUAUUUGGGAUAAAAGCACUAUCCAAACAAACCGGACUCGGCAAUCCAUGUUCGUAUAAUAUUGUGCGCAAACGGAAUACAAGCAGUUUCAAGGGGGGGAAAAUUAAAAACAUCAAUGAUUGGAGUCUUGGAGAGUCAGUAAAGUUGGAAACUAGGAAGUCAGCAUUACCAUUUAGUUUAUUAUAUAAGAAGUUCUCCAAAUUGACAACAAAACAAACCACACAUUUAUAGGCAAAUGCUGAUGAAGAAUCCAAGGAAGGGAUAAGAUCAUCAACCGUCCCUGAAUCAUAUUAUAUGCCGAAGAUAAUCUUUUUGACUUGCACGUUAUAUACUAUUUUGAUGGUUUCUAUGGUUUCCUAAAAGUUUAUCAUCACAAGAAUGUCAAUCUUUUUCUUUUUCUUUUCCGGAAACGAUAGGUGGCUAGAUUGUCAAUCAUUCACGGCUAAAAUGGCGUUAUUGCUUGACAAUUGACAUGGGCCGCCAGCACAAAGACUUGUAGACAUCGCAUUUCCCCAAGAAACGCGUUUUCUUGUUAGAGAGUACAAAGAAUUUUGCGUUGAAAUUGUUCCACCACUGGCCAGUGCCCACUGUAAGUUGCCUAUUUCUACCGACGACGGUCUGCGUUACCGCCUUGUUUGUAUUCGCAUCUCUCUGCUAUUGUCUCCCCUUGAUUGUAUGAUUAUCCUGUUAUUUAUAAAAAUUUGUAUCGUAGAUAUGUUUUUCAAUCACUUUGUUGUCUCACAUGUAUCAAAUUUUUGUUAAAAGAAGGUACUACAUCAUUUUUUUUUAAAAAAAAAAUUCAAUUAUUCUCCUAUAUAAGGAUCAUAGUUAGUAAAAUAUAGGACGGGUAUAAUAUGAGAUAUUAUACAUACUACAUGAAAUCUUUUUCAAAAGUAUACUUAAAAAUUUGACGUAAAAGUAUGUGCUUGGCAAAAUUACGCAUAUAAAUUUGUAUGUAAAGAAUAUGAAUAUAUUUGAAAGUUAUGUAACUAAAAAUGCAAACAAAUUUACUGUAGUUUUAAAAAACUAUGCUAUAUUUAUACUAAUUUUAAAUUCAUUAUUGCAUACAAGAUGUUAAAUUUAUUAAAAUUUUAUCACUUUAUUACUUAUAUAUGUAUAAAUCUAAAAUUAUUAUAAGAUCUAUUGCUCUUAUUUUGUAUAUGACUAAGAAGUAUACCAUGAUCCUCGUUCAAAUUUUAAAUUUCUCAAAAAAAUUGAAGUAUAAAUUGUGAAGCAUACUAUGUUAAAAAUUUAUUAUGAGUUUUAUAUGGUUAAUUGAAAAGUACAAAUAUUUUUCAGAAUAUUUUUGAUAUGUACAAAAUAUGGAAGUGUUUUGGACGAUAUGUACGCACGUGUAUUGUGUAAGUAUAAUAUGAGUAUUUACUAACUGAACUAAACACAAUUAUAUUCCCACACUUGCAGCCAAAAAACAUAGGAAUAAAUAAAUAAAAAUAAUUACCAUUGGCCUUUGGCAGAAAAUUAGGGUUACUGUCCAUUUCGAGUAACGCAUCACUCGAACUCUACCCGUGUAAAAAUGCUUGAGUUUGAACUCGAGCUCAAACUUGUCAAGUUCUUCAAAAUUAAGUUUGAACUCAAGUUGGAGCUUCUUUUAUCCUAACAAAUUGAGCUCAAUCGAAUUUUCAAACUUGAUUAAUUAAAAAUUAGAUCAUAAAUACACUAUUUGAUAGUACUUGAUGAAUAAUUAAAUUUUAAUUUUUCUAUUAGAAUUCAACUCAAUUGCUUUAUCAAGUAGUUUGAACUCGACUCGAAUUCAAUCAAUGUCGAGCUCGAUUCGAAUCUUUAACGAGCUUCUACUUGCAUACCCAAGUCGAACAACUCAAUUAGUUUACGCCCCAACGGAAAAUCAUGCUAAUGCAUGGUCACGCCUCCCGAUCAUCACAUUGUGCACGCGUCUACACCAAUCUCAUCUGAAACAUCGUGAAAUGUCGCGCAUGGUACACCUGUGUUUUAUGUCUGUGAACUAAAAUACUCCAGUAACGUCCUUGUGCAUUCGCGUACCUGCAUCAUUAUCAUCACAACCAACCGCUACUACUGGAUUAUACGCUGUACGGAGUGCGUAUUAUUACGGGCAAAAGGUCCCAAUUCUGGACACAGCUAUUCAUGAUCAUCGGCGGAUUGAUGCACUUUAAAUCGAUACCCAUCCAUCUUCCAAACAAUCACCAUCCCCACAACCAUUCUCCAAUCUUCCACUUUUUAUACACCAUUGCUGGUAUCAACUCAACUCGUUUUGCCACUCACUUUCUCCUGCUUUCGUGGUCGUUACAAGCUUUGAUUCAACUCAUUUGCAAAGGAUCACUUGCAUUGCUCUCUCUCUCUCUCCUCCUCCCUGAAGUUGCAUCAACUCCAACCUUCAAUACUCUCGACAGAAUGAAUCAGAGGCCCAUAAACUUCAAGCGCCUAGAUUUAGUCACGCCCUUGCAGUUUGGCAGGAUAAACAUGCAAUGUGCUCAAAGUACCUAAACACAUUCAGCAAUCAAAGCUUGUGGCAGGAAAGAACCAGAGGGCGAAAAUGCUGCAACUUAAAGCUACUGCGUUAAACAAUCAGGUAUGACAAUCUGUUGUCAGCAGUUUAGAUGCACCCUUAAAGGGGCAUUAUGAAAGCAACCUUUCUCUAGCAAAAGUAAAGAACAAACUACCCAAAGCGCUCAAUGAGACAAAAUUGAAUAAACUGAAUCUCAGCGACAAAUUUACAGAGGGGCAAAGUCUAUAGUUUAAGCAUACAGCAGAUCUGGUAUACCUUGUCAUAUGUCCAAUGAUCAAUCUCUAAGUGUAGUUUUUGUAACAAACAAAUAUGACUAACAUAACAAAAAAUGAACACUCAACUAGAUGUAAGAUCCACUGCUCUCAAGAGCUAUAAAAGCAAGGUAACCCCAACCAACACCUGACUGCCAGUCGGCUGAGCAGUUGAACGCAUUACACUGCAGAUCUCAACGCUCCUCUAGCAGCCUCUCGCUUCAUCUCUGCAGCUUUGCCACUGCCUCGGAAAUACAUGUACACUUGCUGCAGUAUGAGAAAGCAAGAGCCAGCAAAAAGAAAUGAGAACAAACUUUUUAGGUAGAAUACGAGGAGGAGAAGGGUGAAUGUAAUAUAACCGAGUAACUUCAAGCACAAGCAACAAAUUUAGACCUGAAUAACCCAAACGCUGAGAACUGAUUCAAGACAGAACAGACCAAACCCAAUGAAGUAGAAAACCUGUUAAAGGAGAAAAUGCAAAUAUGAAUAUCUUCCAAAAUUGUUGCUAAUAUUACAUAAUUAGAGAACCAGAUGUUGAGAUGUGGAUACAAUGCAUAAAGAACUUUAAGGCAGAGUUACACAGUUGCAAGUCAUGCUCAAGAGAGCAAAAUAAGAAUGAUAUUUACCCCAACUAAGACCUGCUUGCCGACGAGGUCUACAGCAGGCAGGAUACCCCUGUUCCAAAAAACCACACAAUAUUAGAUUGUCAGCACUAGAAUUUAUAUACUGAUAAACUUAUCAUAUCCUUUUUCUUUUCUGGGAAGGAGAGGGGAAUCAACAGAGUGAUGAGUGGCCAUAUUGAUUAGCUGUCAAUUUUGAAAUAAUCAUACUAAUCUUAACUUUUUUAAGUCAUUAUCUCCACCAUUUUUAGCAAAAAAACAUUGAGACUCAUAAUUAACAUGACAAGUUCAAGAAAUCAAACAUGGAAUAAGGAACUUACGCUAGAGAUUUUCCUUUGAAAACAACUGGAGGAGCAACCGCAGCAAAGAUGACGAAGAUAAUGUGAAGCUAUAAACAAGGGCAGGAUAUCAGCCAUAUUUACAUAACCAGCUAACACGGAACAGAAUCAUGGAAACAAGUAAACGCACUGACCAAGUAAAACAAGAAAAACCACCCAAACUUCAUAGCACUAUCAGUCCUGCAAUAAGAAUGUGCUGUUAAUAUUACAAGAAAACUUUUGAAGUGAAAUCAAUAAACUAACAAUAAAAUGAAGGUCCCAGAUGUUAUUGAUGUGAAAGGCAAAUCUCACAACCAAUCCAUCCAGGUAAACUCAAAACAUUAUGUAACGGACCCAACCCUCCCAAUUGCCUCAUUUAAGCACUGGAUAAACCUCAUGUAACAGCACCAUAAGAACAUUCAUAACUUCAUAACAAAGAGAGAAUUAUCAAGCUAGCUAUAGUAUAACUAAUAUAUCCAAUCUAAUACCCUACAUUUUUGCUGGUUUAAGUCAAAACUGACUACCACCCAUAUCACCAGUACAUAUAGAAGGAUAACUUUCUAACAAUGUCAAGAAACAAAUAAGAACAUGUUUAUACCCUCUAACCCCAUAAGUUCAACAGAAUAAAUGGUAAUGCUACAGCCAAAAUAAAGUCAAUAACAAAAAUGCAUACCUAAAGGCAUUAUAUAGUGGCCUGUACCACAACACAUAGGCUCCUGGGACACCUGAUAUGAAGUAUAUAAUAGCAAGAAACCAGAUUUUUGGGUCUACAAAGAAGGAAUGUUGAAAAGGUUACACCACAGGACACAGAGGGGACAGACAAACGACCAAAGAAAUGAAAGGAACCAAAAUUUCAGGAACGAACCUCCCUCUUUAAUCCAUGCUGUGGUAACGGCUAUGACGUUCCAGAAAAGACAUGCUACAAGUCCUGCUCACCACAAACACAAUUCCUCUUAAGUGGAGGUAAUAACCAAAAAAAAAAUAGCAGGCUUAACUAUGCAAAUGGAACAAUCAAAUGAGAUCCAGUCCCAAUUCAUUAAAAGGUUACAACCAUAGCAAAGACGCUGAUUGAUGCACGGUUACAAAUUUUUCCACAGAUCUCAACAAAAAACAAAGGAAUAUAAAAAACAACGGUAAGGAUAUCUGCUCAGUUACAAAAUUUUCCAGCUUGUAAUAUGGUAUUUAUGUCAGAAAUAGAUUCAGAUACGUAAUACAACCUCCUCAUUGGUAGAGGCUAUGUUUUCAGAAUCCUUUCAAUGACCAGGAAAGAAUUUCCAUUGAAUAACCAGUCUUAUCCCCAAUCAAGAAUUUUCAGGCCAGAAUAGAUUUCAAUAUUUACGAAACCUGAAAAUAAAUGCCUAGCGAUGUUAAAAAGAAAUCUAUAGGCUAUCUUCCUCUUUUAAUAUUUCAACCAGCCUGAUAUAUGGGAGAUAAAGUUGAUAUCUAUGAUUCCAAUAAGCUUCUGAUAUGCUCCAAUCCAAAUCCCCUCCCUAGGAUAUAAAAGGGGGAAUGAUAAAUUUCACAUGCAGUGGAAAGGUAUCCCAGCAUUGGCGAGAAUGAUGACAAAUAAUUUCAUGAAGGCGUUGAGCAUUUAAGCAAAUCACUUUUAAACUUCAAUGGAGGCUAACCAAAAUACGACAUACCCAAAAAGGUUGUGAAUGCAACAUACUGCAUUCUCUGAAGAUGAAUUGGAAUAUCAUUUCCAAUGUCAUGAUGGAUAAUUGGAAAGAACGGUGGCCAGUUUUUCUCCUCAAGAACAAUACCAGCUGCAAGGCAAUAAAGGCAAGUCAACCCUUUAUUAAUAUCGGGAAACCAAAGAUUGUGACAGAUAAAUUUCAUCUGUCAUCCAUGAGAAAGUGUUAAAGAUGAGACCACCUGUCAAAGACGUUGCAAACAGAGAAAUCAAGAGAAAAUGAUAUCCAUUCUUCUACUUCAUUAAAUUUUCACUCUGUACCUCUUUCUUUUUCAUUUUUCCUCCCAUUAGUGGGGGUUGAAAACAUAAUAUCUUGUUUGAUAAGUAGAAAGAUUUCCAUCAGGAACAAGCUUAUUUUCUGCCAACUCAAAAGACUCUCAAAAUGUUCAACUACAUAUAGAGAUAUUAGCGGACUAGCCACAACAGCAUUGUGAGGUGCCUCCCCAGAUGAGCACCAAGCAAGCAAAGGCAGGUAGAAUGGGACACAGCACCAAAACAGUGAUUAAGACCCGGGGGGGGGGAAGAGAGAGAGAGAGAGAGAUGGAAUAGCAAAGAAGGAACCUCUGGCAGCAGCCUCUUCUUUCCGCUUUACAUCCUGCAGUGGAUCAAUAAAUCAAAAUACUACAAGUUAGCAAUCCGUGAAACUAGAAGCAACUAGAAAGUAAACAUGAAUGUUCUCCGAGGAGCCAGAAGGAUAUUCAGUUAAUAUUGACAACCAGCCAAAAAGCGACACAGCCUUAAAGACAGCACCUACAGCCACACAUGGAACCUUUUAGAUAAGAGAAAUUUCAGGUCUCUGUCGUGUUCUAAGAGUGUUUAAAAACUUGAACAGCCAUUUGAAUAUAGCUAAGAUUUUUAGUUGUUGCAAAAUUGUUUAUAGAAACUCCAUGGAUAGUAAAAGAAAAGGCUGGUUGGGUAGAACCAAUUCACAUCCUUUAACCCGUUGAUCAGGCCAUGCCAAAAUACUUCUAGUACCAGCUGAUAAAAUUUUCAAAUAGUUGCAUCAUACAGGACAAUUAAGGGCUUAAAGAUGCUCUCAAGGUUUGAAGAACAUACUACGCAAAGCAAUCUGACACAAUAAUGAGCAGUUACAACAAAACCAACAUAUUCCCAAACAUGUCAUAAGCUAACAAGAGAUCCAGGCUUUACAUAAUGAAACAAACAAGAAGAAAGCAAUAUAAAUCCCAUUUUCUUCUUGUUUGAAAAUAAUGAAACACGUUUAUAGAAAUUAAACUUUCAUAACUGGACUGUUAACAUUAUAAAUGGUAAUGCUUGGGGGCAAUCACAAUAACCGAUAUACAUUAGAAGUUAUUUAUUUAGAAUCCUAGACUACGUAAUAGAACAAAAGUCAUCUUGCAGAAAAAUAUAAAGUGCAUCAGGCAAAGAUCAACAAAAUGAUGAUUUUCAGUCAACAAGUACCUGUUCCCUCCUUCUCAAUUCAGCUUCCUUAGCUUGCAGCUCCUUCUCUUUCUUUUUCAAAUCCUAAUUGGGACACAAUAAAAUUAGACAUAACUAAAUACUGUUGAAAAACAUAAGGUAUUAUAUGAUAGUUCUAAGGAUUGGACCUACUGCAGCAUUAUCCAGAGGAAUAUCAAUUGAGGCAGUACUGUUAUAGAAAUCUGCAGGCUCAGGUGGAAGAGGCGAAAGCCUUGAGUUUGUUGCUGCAGGGACACUGCCAGACUGAAAUUCGAGAAAGAUAGAUGGCAUUAAUGAGUUUCUUUACUUCCUUCAAAAGAGAAAAGGAAGAACUGCUUGAAGGAAAAAAUUUUUUGUAACACAUUAUACGAGGUAAUUGAAUCAAGUAUUAAAGAGAGAGAGAGAGAGACGACAUCACCAGCCUUGUAGCAAAACACGGAGAAUGAAAAGAAAAAACUUAAAAGAUAAUUCAUUCAUCUAAAUCAUCUGCAUGAACAAAUGAGUUCAUAACACUGGCAAAAGAACACCAUUGAACUAGAAACCUUCCUCUAAAGCAUUGAAGAACAUUAAAUGUGAUGCCAAAAGCAUCUUUGUGAUGUAAAUAGACAAAGCCAUGUUAGUAUGAUAUAUCAAUACUACGUUUAUCAAAAAUUAGGAUAUAGUUCAAAUGCACAACUAUCAUCCAGCCAUUAUCGCUCUAAAACAUGGGGAAUACAACAUUUUAAUUUAAAGCAAACUAAAAACUGGCCAUUUUAACUAUAUGACUGGAAGAACUACAGGCGUAAUGAUGUACUUACUGUUGUAUAAAAUGCUCCUCCACUAAACUUAGAUUUCCCUCCAUCCUGCCAUAAAUUCAAAAAUAAAAGCAAUUUAAAGAAUCAUAAAUUUGAACAUCUCUUCAAACUCAGUGCAUCAUAUUGAAUAACUAUGCAUAAUAUGUAUGGUAAAGCUAAUACUUAGAACUGCAUUAAUAGAAUCAGAAAACAUAGCCUCAUCCUCAACAAAUUACUGUAAGUUACUUUUCUAGAUCAAAUGCUGACUUUUCCAACUCUCAAAGGACUAAAACCAUCUAAGCCAAUAAUCUAAAAUAUCACACUUCUCUGAACUCCAGCAUCAGAAAUGUCACUCUACUGCGUAAAUUUUUUGGGUUGCCGCCCAAGUACCGAAAGAAUAGGAGUAUACCAAAUAUCUAGAUACAUCAGAGUUGGGAAGACCAUCAUUUUUCAUCCUACCUAUAAUACUCCAACCUCAAUCAGCAGGCCUCCAACAAUAAUCGAUGGUUUGAGCACCAAUAAGUCUUCCUGUCUCCCUCCCCAACCCCCCCCCCCCCCCCCCCCCCCACAACAAAAAACAAAAAAAAAGUGAAAAAUUAAAAUAGAAGAAACCCCCAGCCACCCGCUUGAAACUUCUCGCAGAUCAAUAAUUACCAAAGCCCUUAUGAUUUCAGCUCUAAUUGCAGAUCAAUUUGUACAGCCAGUCAAACAAAAGUCAACCUAGUUAGAAGUACAUAAAUUCCAUUUGAAAACAGGCAAUCGACCGGACAAAAACUCAGAAAAUAAAAAAGUAAUUAUGAGAAACACUAUAACAGAAUUCCAAAUUUCAGGAUAGAACCGCUCAUGCUAUCAACCGCCAAGAAUCUUACAGUCCACAAAAACCUCAAUAAAUCCACCCAACUCACGGCUAAGAAAGCACAUAAUACCCAAAGCCCGCAUACCGAUAUACAGAUUAACCACCAAGCAACCCAAAAUUCAAGCAUAAUUACAUAAAACGGGAAAUUAGUACAAAAUCAGACGGUAAAGUAAGAAGCAAACUUACAGCAAAGGGAUUGACUUCUUCUUCCUCGUCAAAAGGGUUCCGAUCAUAACGGCCAGCCAUUGCAGAGAGUUUGUUUACUAUUGGGCUUACGGAGAUCUGAUAAUAGUAGCACUAGAAGUAUAUUUUUAAAAUUUCUAAUUAAAAAAAAAAGAGAGAAAAGCAAAAAGCUUAGCAGGCAAGAAAUUAAGGAGAAGAGUUUUGGAAGAUUCAAAAUAUAUGAGGUGUCUAAGUGCUGGAGAGAUAGAUGGAGAAGACCCUUUUGGCUUUUUUUACAACUAGUAUUGAAGUUUACAAUGGAGAAUAUAAUGUACUACUAGUACCAGAUGUGAAAUUGGGGAAGAAAGCAAGAAAGGAAAAAGUUGAAAACGUAGAAAGAGAAAAUGAAAGACUUGUCCUCCGCCCUUGGCUUGUUGGUCAGCCAAUCCUGGAGUGCUUUUUUUGAAUUUAAGACGACAUUAGAAAUUUAAUGCCUAUUUCUUCUCUGCCUUGUCCGAUAAAAUUACUGCCACCUGGAAAAGGAAAGGAGAACCGUUUAAAUUUUAUAUUGGGGAAAGAAAUACUUUGCCACCGGAAAUAUUUUGAUUCUAAUUUUGUCUUGGUCUUGUUUCCAUCGCUAUUUUUCCAAGAAAAAUUUUCUAUUUUUUCAUAAUACAUUUUUCAAUUACGUUUUUAUCAUACAUCAAAUCCUAAAAAUACUAUAAUAAUACACAUGGAUAUUACAAUUUGAGAACAUUGUCCUAUAAAAUUGGAUGCAAAUUGUGAUCCUAUAUUAACCGUUCUACUCUUUUUAUCUUUUUGUUCCGAACCCAUAAUUUACCAAACUAUAACUAUUAAAAGAAUUGGCCAAGAUUAUGCUAUGCGCAUUUAAAUCUCAUACAUGAAUUUCCAUACGCUAUUGGUGGGUUAAUUUGGUAGUUCAUAAAGUUUUUCGUAAAUUAUUAACCACUAGGAUUGGCCAAGUGAUCAUGGUAAAAAAAAAGGGCUCAUGUCAUGGUUUGGAUGGAAAUUAAAAUGAAAUUUGAGCUUAAACGGAAAAUCAAGAUGUCCAAGAACUUUUUCAACGAUGGAAAUGAUUUUUUAGCCUCAUAUUCAUUUUUGUACCAUUAGAAAUUAUAUGAUUUGCGUAUCUAAAUUGUCUUCAAAGUUCGACCAAAGUAUUUUUCCCAUUAGAAAAUUUUACCUAACUCGUGUUUCUUAGAGCCAAUCUAGGUGCAUUACUCAACAUGUACAUUUGAGGCAAAUUAAACUUACCUAAAUAACAUUUCAAGCUCUUUCGUUUCAUGUGCGAUCCACUGAUCUUAAAUGCAUUAUACUUUUAAGAUUUCCAAAAUUUCUUACCAGUGAAUACUUUCUUAUAACCAAUUUACUAGUUAUCCAAAAAAAAAAAAAAGAUAAGAUAAUUACGUGACGAUCUCAAAAAACAGCAAGCUAUACUCGGAAUAUAUUUUUGGAUACGUUAUUAUGUUUACCAACUCUUCGGUAUAUUAUGUUGUAUUUUCAUUGGAAUGUAAAACUUCUACUGCGGCCAAUCUAGUACUACAAAAACCGAGGUCUUGUUUGAUAACUUAACUCAGUAUUUAAAUUUAAUGAAUUCAGAUCUUAAUAUGUUUAAUUGCGUUUGAUAACAACAAAAUAGAAUAUCUGAAUUAAUUAAAUGGUACUGAAUCCUCUAAGUUAAAUGUUAUUUACUUAUCACUUAAUGUGAUAUAAACUCAAUUGUAUCAAAUUUAGUAUUUAAUAAUUUAAUGGAUUCAGAUUUCAGUUAUCUUUUAUCAAACGCAGACUAAGUUGAAUAAUUUCAUAAACCUGUCUUCCCGUUGAACUGCUUUUUACCAUUUUUUUUUUCUUUUUUCGUUCUGAUAACGAAGUGGUUAGAUAGUUAUAAGUCGUGUUAACGAGUCUCCAAACGGGAGUCUCAACUGCUCCAAUAGGUGCCUACGAAAUGAUCAUUAUUGAUGAUAGGUAGAUGCCACAGAGUUCAGAAAAUGGGAUUAGCUAUGUGAGUUUUGAGGUGAAGCUAGUCUUUAUUGCAUGUAGGAAUCAAUCAACUAAAUAAUGAUAUAGCAGUUGACAUGAUUUCCAAGUUGUUGUAUAUUCAAGGGAUCAUUUCAGAAACCUCCCUUGAGUUUGGCUAAUGUACAUAUAGGUAGAUCGUGCGUUAAGUAUAACCAUGUCCAAAAGUAGCCUAAUCAAUAAUAUAUAAUUAACUUUUCCUGAGUUUGGCUAAUGGGUCUCUAGUGUUAGUUUUUUUUUUAAAAAAAAGUAUCUAAAUAUAGAAGUGCAAUAAUAAUUAUAAUUGUGUAUAUUCACGUGAUAAGUUAGGUUUAAUUUUAGAUCUAUUAACAAAUAUCGAUUAGACAUCCCGUUAAAAUAUUCAAAACUUUUACUACGGGGCAAAUGAGUGUACCAUUUGUUUAGCCUUGACAUUUUUAAGGUGUAACAUUUGCCACAUUUGUUUUAGUUGAAAAUUUGGGAACUAAUCUAAAAUUAGGGCUAUAUCUCAACACACACUAAUUUUGGAACAGUCGAAAAUCCAAUUAAAAGGUAAUCAAUCUUUUUGAAACGAAAUUUAUUUUAUUUUAUUUCAAUUUUUUGUCAAAAUGCGUGGUCAUGAAGUAACACUACUGUGAUUGUUGAUUCAAAAAAAAAAAAAAAUGAUACUCUGUUUAACAUAUUUACAGUAAAAGUUUUUCACAUAGUUUUUGAAAAACAACCUAAAAAACAACUAAUUCAAACAGACUUGUAUUUCAAAAACGAAAUGCUACAGUGCUGUUUUUUAAAAACAACCCCAAAAACAGCUAAUCCAAACGGAGCCCAUGGUUACUAAUUUACAAUCCAUGGUUACUAAUUUACAAUCCAACCAGUCAACGCAAAAGUUAGCGGCAGCCACAAAAAGAUAGUUGAAUUUUGACCGGCAAAGCGGAAGCCGUGGGGAGCACUUGGGUUUAUCCUCAAAUCACUUGUCAAUUAGGCCCUUUGACUAUUUUUCCUGCGAUAUUAUUCAGUACCAUCUAGAAGGCCACAGUUUCACCAAACCGUCAUCAGGGUUGGAAAUAGGUCCUGAGCCAACAUAUUCUGGGUUGGAAAAACGAGCUGUUAACGCCAUAGUCCUGGCUACUCCAGCAUCUCAAGAAUCCACGGCGUAUUAGAGACGCACUGGGAAACAAUUUUCAUUGGUAUUGCAUCCGAAAGCAUUCAUUGACAGAUCAAGCAGAUGGCAACAACAUGGUCGAUGUAACUGAAGACCGCCAUCCCUAACCAUGGCAGGCACUAGUAGUAUUAACUGAGUCAUGAUUUUCCAAUGGCAUGAUGGGGUUUUGACGUCAUAAAAUAUGCAUCAAAACACAGAUUUUACAUAUCCCAUGACACAAAGGCCGUUUCAUGAAGCAUUAAACAUGGAAGGGGAAUUAGUGAGGAGUCAUUUGUAACAUUAGUAAAAAAAAAAAAAUGAAUUACCGGCACAAAUAAAUAAUGGCACUAUUGAAACAAUAAUGAAUUAAUGAUGAUGAUCAUUAUAGCCUGCAGAGACUAAGAACUACAGGGUGUGAAUCUGAGUGAUCGGACAAACUAAGGCUACGCUUUAUGAUGCCGUCUUCUGCUGUAUCGCCGCCGCCUUCUUUGGCUUCCUUUAUAUGGAUCCACCCAGUAUCUGUCCUCUUUAAUGGCUCGCUCCCACCGAUCUUCAAAUGUCUGAAGCUCUGAUGUUGAUUGCCUCCUAACCUGCACAAAGUGCAAAAGAAGAAUGAUAGCGUUAGGGGGGCAUGAAUCUUUUAUUCUAUCGAAAAGCACUUCAUGGUAAUGUGUAUGAUCUUAAGGUCUUUUUCUCUAGACAGAUCUACAAGGUUCAAGAGAAACAGGAAUACAACUGAUGAAAGCAGCACAUCAGUGAUCCAGUGCCUCACCUCCAAUCGUACAUCAACUUCAUGCCUCUGAGAUAAAAAAAGAACCCGAUGUGUAAAUGCAAGACGCAUAGCACAAAGAACGAGGGACAAGAUAAAGAAGCAACCAUAAGAUAAAGUCUAUACCUUUGUUGACCCUCCAGCAAUUGAGGUCUGCACAAAGAUCAAACAUUGUCAAUGGAUGUCAAUGUUUUAUUAUCAUUACCUUGUCAUCAACUUGUUAAAAAGCGCACCGAGACAGAGGAGUAUACAUGGUAAGCAAAUCAGGCACAGAUCCAAGACCUGAAAUCGUAAGCUCCUCCCGACCAAAAACCUAGCACUGAGUUGCGAGCAAAAACUAGGUGCACUACCAAUAUGUCAAAAUUCUUCAAUGCAUAUACAAGCAACUUCAGGAUCAGGAAAAGUAAUCUUUUGGUUCAGUGCCUUGGUUUUUCUGAAAUAAGGCUUCUUGCAGCCAUUGGCUUUAUAUAGCUUUGUUUCCCAUGUAAUUGAAGAUUUCUCUUCCUUAAUACGUGACGAAGCAAAAAUUAUGUAAGCGUUAGAAGUUAUUUAAUGGAACCCUCGUAUCCUUAGCAGCUACUUAAUAUUGACAUUAUAUCUAUUUCAACUGCUAGCUCAACCAUCUGAAACUAUCUGUCUUAUCAAAGAUACAUAGGUGGGGGUAGGUUAAUCAGCCCAACAGUGCUUUGAGAAACUAUGUUUUGAACAAGAGUCCCCUCACAUGCAGGCCACGACUACACAGAUGUGUGAGUUGGAUUCAUAUAUUAGGCAUAUUUCAAUUAUUCAGUCAACCACCUCUGUACAGCAACCAUAAGAGUGUGUUCACUUACUGGAGUUAGUAGCAACUGCUAGAGUGUUUUCACUUGUUGAAGUUAGUAGCAAUAUACAAAAAGGAAACUGCAAAUCAGUCAAAUAGCCAGCAACUUUGAUGAUAGAUGGUGGCGAACUAAAGGCUUAAUAAUCGAGUGAAAACUUAAGUACUAGAAUUAUCCUAAAACACGCAGGCAGUUUAAUUCCACUAGGUCAUUAUAAGGCUAAGCCUUAAAGCCUUGUGCCUCGUGGAAUUUGAUCUUUGAUGGUAUCUGUUUUUCUGUAUGGUGGCUGGCUAUUUUAUAAUUGAGGGCAGGUAUGCAAAUCUUCAGGGGCUAUUUACCAAGAAUUCAUUUUUAGAAGAACGUCAAAAAAUAUUGUCCUUUUAAUUCAUUUUCCACAAAACGUGGAAAUCGAUUUCUCUAAAAUCAACUUUCCAAAGCCCAUUUUAAAGAAAUCAACUUAUCUAGGAGUCUCCAUUCCUUACUUCCAAAUUCUAUUCCUUCUUCCUCCACCAUAGUUGGCCAGUCUCAUUACCUCAAACCUUCCGUUGUCUAUUGUCAUACUCAUUAUUGCAGCAGACUCUUUGUAAAGACAGGUGGAUUGAUAAACUACUGCAUAUGCUUGCACUAAUGGGUGCAGGUUUUACCACCCUGAUCCAGCUUUUUGGCUAAUGCUGUAUAAAACAAUGGUCAUUGAAAUUGGGAUUUGGUACAAAAAGGUAAGAAAAGAACCUGGAAAUAAUGGAGGUCAUGCUAGACCCAGAAACAUCAAGCGAAGACUUUGUCAUUGUAAAAUUCUGAAGUGAUUUUAAAGUUUAAAUGGCCACAUAGUAUCUAUAUAUUAUUCAUUCAGAGAGGAUUUUGCAGUGGAACGAGUACCAAGCAUCAAAGAUCAGGAAUCCGGAAAACAAUGUGCCCCUCUUCUUCUUCUCCCCACAGGGAUAUUGCAGUCUAUCUUGUUUCAUAAAACUUUUAAGGUCAAAAUCCACUUCUCUGUUUUUAAACAAGGCUGAAUUUUAACAGAAGUUGCGGCUGGGUUUCACCAGAAGUCAAUUUCUCCAAGAUAGCCUCUAAGGUGAUUUUUGCAUAGAUUAAAAAAAAGGAAAUAUUUCUUUAAUUGCGAUUCAAAACCAAAAUGUUAAAGGCAUAUAACCCAAAUUACCAGAAUCCAACAAAAACAUUUUAAACAUUUUAAGGAAAAAUAAAAAGACAGAAAACUUAAAGCUUUUCAUUAUCUGCAAUUUAAACAUCUAAGAAGUGAAAUAUCAAUAAUGAAGUAGCUUAUCAGGGACCAAAACUUCUGCCCCCUAAACAGAAUUAGAAAAGUUAGUGACUUAGUAUUGAUGUGAGCUGUAGCAUGUAAAAUGGUCGCAUAUGUGUAGCCAUGCCAUGAAAUAACAACCUCGUACAUUAAAAGAAAAGAGAAGGAAGUGAAUAGGUAGAUCACCUUUUUGGCAGAUUUCCCUCCCAAUGUCUGUAUACUCUGAUGAACUAUGUAUUCACUAUCAACCACUCCCACAUUUUUCGUGCGGUCACCCUGUAAGAAUGCAAACCGUCAUCAGAUCCCUAAGGAAACAUGUCAACCAAACCCCAUUACAGAGAGGAGAUCUCUCUCUCUCUCUCUCUCUCACACACACACACACAAACACACACAAACACACACACACACACUCUCUCUCUCUGGUGAUAACUUUGCAUAAAGAUGCCAUCAUCCUGUAACUUAAGCAUUACAGCGACAGACUCAAACAAGCCACUUUGACUAGCCAGCACAUCCAAUUUUGCAGCAAUAGAGAAGCAACACAAAAAAAACCAACUUCAACAUUGUAAGAAGUGGCCAUAAUUUCCAAUCCAAACAGGUAAGAAAAAUUGGGAGUAACAGUAAAAAAAGUUCUGCAGGUUUCAUGUCCAGAAGAAACUGGAUUCUUUUACAAAUUACAUAGACAUACACAAAAGUUCUUUUUAGUAUAACAGUGCAUAUGUAAUGAAUAGAUAAAAAGGAACAUGAAGUUCAUAACAUUAUCACGUCAAAACAUUGUAGGAUAACCCAAUUUAAUAUCUCACCUGCGCACAAUAUCCCAGUUUCAUGUCCAUUCCCCAUCCAUGAACAAGAUCACUCUGCAAAAAAAAUGCAAUGAAGCAAAACUUUAGUAAAUCGAAAGAAAAAACUAAAGUUUCAAAGCUUAAUAAAAACGGCUUAUAUCAUCCAUCUCUGCUCACAAUAGCAGCCAAAAUGGGAAACCAGGAAAAAAUAAAAAUAGGCCUAAGAAAAAGUAAAAGACACAGUAAAAUUCCUAGUCAACUGUUUCAACACACAAAUUACUCAAAGAAUUAUAUGAACCUUGACAAGACAAACACAGACUCAUAAAUUGCUUAACAUUAGGAGGACACAAUCUAAAACAAUCAUUAGAAUUAGUUCUUUUUCUCAACAUGAAAAAAGGACAAAAAGCCACAGCCACGGCCACAAGUAUAACAUAAUUCACAUGCAUACCAAGAUAAAUCAUUAGAUUCUCAAUGACAGACUGCCACAAAGCUAUGAAUUACCGUGUCAAAAUAUGUUGAAGCAAAACCUAUACCAAGCAGAUGGAUUUUUUAAAAUAUCUCACCUGUAUUAGGUGCCAGGAACAAUGCCACGCAGCUCUUGAAAAGACAGGAGCCAUUCCUUCCACGAACCUGCAAAAUUGAACCAAUUAAUUCAACUUCAACCUGAACAAUUUGUAAAAACCUUCUUGAUAGAAGCAUACCAAAUAAACCAAUUCACAUUGGUACUCAUAAAUUAGUAAACAAGUGAGAAUACUGGCUAAUUGCAAGAUAGCAAUUGGUGAAGACAGCUAAAAAAAUUACCCAGCACAUGGUGGCCCAUCACUUGCAUCCGAACAUUUCGUACUGCCUCUGGUUUCAUAGACUCUUCUGCAUUAAGUUAAAGCAUUAGCACCUUUAAAAGCAUCUACAAGGUGAAUUUAGCAUCAUAUCACAGCGAUUAUUGAACUCACCGGUGAAACUUCUUUGAUCUCUGUCGUAUUGUAAUUCUAUGAUGUAUACCGGUAGAAUUAGGGUCUAAAGCUGGCUGAGAUAUUUCCAGUCCUUCUGCCUUUACAAUCUCCAAGUAUCUAAGAAGAAAAAAGAAAUGCAAGUAAAAACCAACUCGAUAUACCUCUUUUAUAGGUUACAGGCAUUGCUCAAAGAACACCAAGAACAUCAUACAACUACAGCGCAGCCUAAAUUUGAAAACAAUGGAUUCUCCCAUCCCCUGCAAUGCUAUAGUCCGAACUUUGCAGUAUUACACAUUUGAAGUCUUCACUCCAAAAAUAGUUAAUUAGAAACAUCUAAGUAGAAGUCAAAUGAAUCUUAUGCAGACUGAAGCAAGACCAUAGUUCACAGGAAGAGGAGAGGAGUUAAGCAUUGCUCAUCCCUAUAUGCAAGAAGCAUAUGUGGCACUGACAGAGAGGGAAAGCAUUUAAAAAUGUUUCCACAAACAAAAGUGAUGGAAAUUUUUAGUAAAUAGAGUUUAAGAACCAAAGGAAAAUGGGUCUAGUGAUCCUAAAAGAUAGGUGAUAGAUGCCCAUUCUACAAAGAAAGCACAAAAGAUGCUCGCAGGCUGUUUUUGUUUUCUUCCUCUCAGGAUCAGAGGAAGGGGGGAAAAACACAAACCUCUCUUGGGAUGCCCAUUCUACAAAGAAAGCACAAAAGAUACCGCAUGAGAGUAACUACUGUACCUUCUUGGGCAGAAAUGCUCCACCCCAAGAUCUUCAUCCCACAAGAAUAUGUAAUCAUAAGCAGAUACAACAGCUGGGUGUAAGAAGCGCUUUGCAAACCACCUGAAAUCACAUGAGAUGCUUAACUGAGAACUACAAAAAAGAACUUUUAUGCAAAUUCUCCUUUGCUACAUAUUCUAUAUAAAAGACCAUGGAAUCAGAAAUUCAAAGUUCAACCGGCAAAAUAUCAGGAUCAAAAGAGCUUCUUUCUUAUUAUUAGUACUACUACCACAACUACAACUACUACGACGACGCCAGGAUUGGAAGAGGCAGUCUAUCUAUACCCUUAAUCCAGAGAUUUAAUCCUGUUCAAGUUUCUGUAUACACCACAAGGUUGCACAAACUAUAAAUAGUGCUAAUAAGUUGGACAGAGGAAGCCAUUUAAUGAUCAACUAGGUCCAAGUCUCGCUGAACUGAUACGUAGAUGUUAUUUGAGGCAACACUGGAGGCAUAAAUCAUCAACAAGGUUUGGCAUGAAAACUACAAUCUUUGGUCCAGUAAAUACCACAAUUAACACUGAACAAUUUCUAGCACUUAAUGGGUAGAACAAUUGUAUCUCUUAUUUGCUACAAUGCUCUAUUAGGAAACACUUCAUUAUAAGCAUCCUCACCAUUUGGUUUGGUUGAAGGCAACCAUAUGUAUUGCCUUCUUACUCCAUUCAAGGUUCCACCAACCAUCCACGUUGCCAUCAUAGUGGAAAAGAACAAUUGUAAAAUUCUCUGGAAGAAACUGAAUACAAAAACAUAAGUUAAUAAAUAUAUCCAGAGAGUUUAAACUUCUAGGAAUCAAGCACCAACAAAAUGUAAUACCUUUUGUACGAUUCUAUCAACAUUGCGCUUCUGCUUAAUACCAACUGGAAUAGCCAAUAAGCACUGAGAACUGGGAGUAUUGAGCUGCAAAUAUAUAGGAUGUUCAGCAUAGAAAGAGGAUCUACCUUAAGCACAUGAAUAAUGACCAGUUUAUGAUAAAUCAAGCGGUCAUAAUUUAGAAGAAAUAGGAAAUACUGAAUUAUAGUUCAAGAAUAAUUACCUCUUUUCUUGAACUAUCGCUUGACCAUAGAGGCUUUAACUCUAGAUCCGAUCUGGCCUCAAUGAUGCCACGAGGUAAUGCAUUCAAACUCGUAGUAGGUAUACCAGAAUCCUAGAAAAAGCACCAAACAGAUCUCAUUAAGUUAAUAAACUUCAAGGAAAUUCCAACUGCUAAUGCAAUGCUGCAACACAACCAUCAAGUGCAAGCAACUGAAAAGAAUUGCAUGACGUAUGCCGAAGUCUAUACCUUUAGCAUAAAAAAAGGCCUUAAUCUUGACUCCAUCUGAUAAGGAAAGGGGAAACAGGGAGUGAGUAAGUGCACAGGAAAGGGAACAUGAAAACUGAACACAGGUGGUCCUUAGCUGUAAAGAUUCUAUAGAAGUAAAACUCAGUUUACGACAAAACAAAGUAUGUAAUAUUAGCAGCCAGGUUGGUACAAAAAAUGCAAUUUGAAAUGAACAGGAGAGCAAGAAGUUGAUCAUUGCAACUCUUAAUUCACAUAAAAUUUUCAAUUAAUUUUUUUAUCCAGAACAGAGACUUAGAGAUUGCAAUAUGAUUAGGUUCACAUAGAUUCAUCCUCGAGCUUAUAGCACCACCAAAUUAUGCUUGUGCUGUGGGUGGUUGCUUUGAAUUAUGGCAGUGAUGGUUUAAAAUCAUUUAAGCCAACAUCUCUACAUACCUCUGUUUGUCGGUACUGAUAAUUAGUGGUCCUAUACACCACGAACAACAUUAAUGUACAGAUAACUACCAUAAAUGGCAGUGGUUUCAUCUUUGCUCCACAUGUUCCCUGCAUCACCACUUCAUUAGUUUAAAACUUGUGAUAUUCUUACAUGGUCAUCAAAGCACAAUGCUCAAGUAAUCUGUAAUCACAUCUACCCAGCUUAUGGUGAAUUGAACAGAAGUGUAUGGAUCAUAGAACCAACCCCAUCAAAUAUAGCGAGCCUUUUUUUCAGCAGCCACCACCAUGGUUUAGAUGCCCUCAUAGGCAACUAUUACUUUUAAAGAAUCUCAUAACAAACUGCAAGAAAUGCAUAUCAAGCUGAAGGAUCAAUGGAAGAAAAUAGAAGCCAAAAAACACAGCACAACUUUUAACUCAGUUACAAUAGCUAAAGACAUUCCAUUCUCCUUCUACAUCAAACGAUUACACUUCUCAAAACAAUCAAUCGCCCAAAUUUGCAAGAUGGCAUAUCACGUAAACUCAAACCCUUUAACACAGCUUACAGUCAAAUUAGAACAAUUAAGAACCAUAAAGGGAGGAAUGGCAAUUCAAGAAAUAACCAGAAACACAUGAAUAAUGUCCUUAAUUAUUCCUCCCUACCUUUGCAUGUCUUUAUUUAUUCAAGCUGCAAAAAGAGCCCAAAAUUAUCCAAAUUUGCAUCUAAAUUUCUUUCCAAGCCUACAAUGUGUUUCAAUGUUCACGAGGCAAUUCUAGUCAAACUGUUCGCAAGACAACUUUGUUCUGCAGGCUGAACAACAAGCUCGCAUGGACGUUUGAAAGGGGGGAGGGCAGAAAUACAUUACCCCGGGCAUUAUCUUUACCACUUACCAAGAGGCAGCAAAAAUGUUCCAAACUGUUCAGCCUAAAUGGAUGUUCAAGUGUAUUGAUCUCAAAGAUCAAAACGUGGCAGGGACAUAAUAAAUUGACUAUGUUCUCUUGUUUUUAAUCUUGUGUUUUAUUGCUUAAGUUUUCAACUUUCGUCGGACCACUUCCAAUUUUGUUAUUUCAAUUGAAAAAAAAAAAACCUUCAAAUAACAAAGAUAUAUAUUAGCCCUUUUAUUAUUUGCCUCCUACACGGCUAAUAAAAUAAGAUGAUACUACUACCACGGAGGAGGAGGAGGGGGAACUAGUAUUAAGCAGGGAAAAGAAAAAUGAACACGUAGCACAAAAGCAGCAAAAAUGAAGCGUUUAAAUUCAAUAUUAAGCCAUCUUUCUAUGAAGACGUUUAAUAAAUUUGAGUGAUCAGUAUAUAACACAUUUGUAGCUAGCGUCCAGUAAAGGAAGCACCAAGUAGAUGAUGGAAAACAUUUCAUUAAAAAGAUAAACACUAAAAAGAGAUAAAACCUUUCAUUUCCCACUUGAUAAGAAACUAAAAAAGGAGAUAGCUUUAAUCUCCCCCCCCCCCCCCUUCUUAAAUUAAUCCAUGGAUCUCAACUUAAUCAACAUUUCCAUCCCAAUAUCAGAAACACGCCAUGGCAAAGGGGAAAAAAAGGAAAAAAUGAAUCACAGAAGAAAAUAAUCCAACAAAAAUAGCGAAUAAAUACCUUUAAAAAAAAAAGGAAGAAGAAUGGAAUUGGUCGAGCGAGAAAACGCGCGAUCCACACGUGACUAGUUCUGCACCACCGUGUCAGUGAAUCCCUUCUCCCCUUUUUAACUUUUUUCAGCUGGAAAACUGAAGAAGCUCCUCCUCUUCCUCCUCCUCCGAUGGCCGGCAAAAGCCAGAUUGCAACAAUUCAACUGGAUUAACACUCUGUCGUACUAGUGCGUGUAUUUUAGUGUACUUGUAAUUGAGAGACUUAAAAAUGACUAAAUUUAAGCUUCACUAUUAAAGUUAAGUAGAACUGGCUUUUUUCUACCUCAAAAAAAAAUUUUAAACAAAAGGGAAUAAAUAUGGUGUUAAAGUAUAUAGACAAAGAACGAGAAGGAAGAAGAAAAAAGGGGGAGGAGGAAAGAGUAAAAGGAAGACGAGGGGAUGGAGAAGGAAUCGCCACCUUUUAAGCGGGAAGUAUUCAGUAAGAGAAGCAAACAAAAAAAGAAAAGAAAAGAGAAUAUUAUGUGUCAGCACAUUCGUUAGUGUGUGAGUGUGUGUGUUUCGUCGCCGACGAGGAUCUCUCCGAUCUCAAUCUUACUACUGUCGACGUAAGCAAAGAAAACUGGUCGUCGUACUAGAAAACGAACGAGUAAAGGGCCAUAAAACAUUUAAUUAAUCUGUUUGGGUAGAGUAUUAUUUGAAAUAUUAUUUAAAAUAAUUACUAUAAUAUUUUUUAUGAUAUGAUAUAUACGAGAUAAAAAAAUAAUUAAAAAUAUUAAAAAAAUAAAUUGAAAAAUGUGUUUAUGAUACAAACGAAAUAUUUAUUAACAGUAGAAUUUAGAGCCACAGGCAGGGGCACCGGGCCACCAUGCCGUUGGCCUAAUUGCACCCUUCCCCGGAUAACAUGUAUAUCUACGUUUUUUAAUAGACGGAUAAUAAUACUAUAGUAUAAUAAUGCAUACGUUUUAUUUGACUACUUUUCUCUGUUAUACAUUAUUAUAAUACCGAGUGGUAUAUUAUAGUACAAUGUACCACCGACGGGUACACGUAGCUAAUCUAACCUUAAUUUUUGUUUAGUACUAUGUGGUUUGCAGGUACAUUUAGUGUUGUACUACUAUAUUAGUAUAUUAGAACCCGUUUGAUUGCUAUUUUUUGAUGUUUUUAAAGAAAGAUGUAUUGUAAUGAUUUGAUAUAUGUAAGAUAAAAAAUAAUUAAAUAUUAUAUUUACGAAAAACUUAAAAAAAUGGCAAUCCAAAUUAUUUUUUAAAUCUGUGUUUAACAAGAUGAGUGCAUUUCCCUUUUUAUUUUGGUUAUUGUGGUGGUGAUUCAGUACUAAUUUUCGUGCGGUCAGUUUCAUAAUAGAAGCUUGUUCUUCAUGGAACAAAAAAAUAAUAAUAAUAACUAGUGGAUCUGUUUGGAUUGUAAGUUAUUUGGGAUUAUUUGGGAUAUUUUUACUGUAGCACUUUUUGUGAUGUGACGUAUGUGAGAUAAAAAGAUAUUGGAAAGAUAAAAAGGUGUAUUGGAAAUUGUAAAGAUGAUGUAAGCAAAUAAAAUUGGGGAAAUAUGAAGCAAUCCAAACAAGAUAUCCGAAGAGUGCUUAUUACUGUUGAGUAGCUUUACUUUUUUUCACACAAAUAACUAAGAUUUCAUUUUUCUAAAAUGAGGAAUCUUUAAAUAAUAACACUUGGUUAUUACUAGUACUUGGUUAGUAUGUAAUUUUCAGAUUGGUUUUUCUAUUCUGCUUAAUUUUCAAAUUGUUUUUUCUACUUUGCUUGCCCGGGAUAAGCAUGCAAAGUUGAGGUACUCUUAUUUGGAUUGUGAUUUUUUGCAAAAAAAAAAAUUAUUUAUAUUUUUUGUGAAAAUGACAUUUUUAACUUACAUACAUUUAGUCGUUAUAGUAAAUUUUUCUACAAAAACUCCUAAAAAUAGCAAUUCAUAUCACAUGCCCUUGGAUCGAAAAUUCAAAGCCUUUCAAGACAAUUAAACACCAGAUCCACCUACCCUUUUCGAAUUUGACUGAUACUAACAACUAAACUUCUCAAAUAUGUUUAUGUUGCAGUAGUUUAUAGUUAUAGCAAGUCGUUUUGGUACGCAUGUCUAGUAAUUACGGUUUUGUGUACGUGUCUCUUUAGAACUCUUCAAAGACUGAAAAUCUAUCGUUUUAUCCAUCGUCCGUAGAUCAGUAUAAUUGGGUCUGUUUCUUUAUCCUAGAGGCAAGGAGUUGGAGUGAAGCCGGUAACGACCAAUCAGAAAAGAGUUCAUUAUCAAUAUCGCAUCUUAGGACUUGGGACCUUAGUUUACAGGAGGCGUAAGGAUCACCUCAGAAUCACAAAGUGACAACUUAACAGGGCUUUGUAGGUACUGAGGGGGUCAUGUUCUUGAGUGAAUUUCAAGCCAUUGGAGAUAUUUUGGGUUCGAGGCACUAACAUGUUUGUUGAAUUCCAAAUAUGUUGAAGCAUAUUUUUGUUUGACAAAUAAUAUGUGCACUUCAUUUUAAUAUUUUAUUACCUGAAGGAAAGUCGAGAUCCAAGUGAUAAUUCUAGUUUCUGGAAUGUAAAUAGGAAAAUAUUAUAUGUACUAUGUUUUUUGCUAUGUGCACUCUCACUAUUUGGUUUAUGAUAUAGUGUAAUAAAUAAAUACUAUAUGAUUAAAAUGAUAGUGGAAAUGUGAUCACAAAAAAUGGGAGUGCAAAUAAUAUUUUACGAUGUGAUUAUCACGUGCCUUUUUGUUUUAGGGUUAAUGACACUUUGCCCUCCUAAACAAAAAUGGUAUACAGUUUGGCCCCUACCUUAGUAAAUGUUAGGCCUUCAAAACAUGUAAUUUUUUUUCUCAACUUUGUGCUUAGUAUUAUUCACACUUUGUUCCUCUAUUCAACCAAAAAAAUAAGGAUUAAUCUUAUACAUAUUAUCAGUGUAUACACUAUCACGGUUAGAUAUAUGACACAUGUGCAAAAUUUGAAUUUAAAAUAAAAAAUUUGCUCAUGCCUCAUCCAAAUUUGCUCAUGCAUUAUUCAUUCAACCAUGAUAGUGUAUACAAAAUUUACUUUAAAAUAAACAUACACUUUGCUUUAAUAAUUAGUAACUCUUUAUAUAAUAUAUUGAAUCAGUCAAAAAGUUAUAAAAUAAUUUUAAUAUUUAAAACUAACAUACUUUCUACUAAAACAUUAUUGAUGAAAAAAUAUCAUAUAUAUAAUAGUUCUUCAAAAUAAACUUUCUAUAAGAUAAUGUUCAAUACAAGUUUAAAGAUAAAAAAUAACAAUUACAUGCUUUUACUUAAUUAACCCCAAAAGAUAUAAAUAUGUUUUCAAGAAUAAGAAAUGGUAUACGUAUUUUAUUCAUAUCAAAUUUAUUAAACUUUUACAUAACUCUUUUUUUUUUUUUGAGGUUAAAGAUUUGAAAGUUUUGUUACAUAUUUCAAAAGAUAUUAUGGCACAUCAGACUAGGCUAUAUAGGUUAUAACUAUACCCUAUAUAUGCAAUCACUUUACUAUCAACAUAUAUAGGUAUAUACACACACACAUAUGGGGUAUUUUUAAUCAAUAAUAUUUUGGAGUAAAGUUUGUUAGUUUUAUGUAUUAUAAAAGGAGGGGAGGAGUAAUAGGUUGAGUGAUAGGAGGAGGCAUGUAAGUAAGAGAUCUUGAAUUCGAGACACCCCACUUACAAAAAAAAAAAAAAAAAAAAGGGAGGGGUGGGGGUGGGGGUGGGGGUAUUAUAGUUAUACUAUAACUUUCGUAUCAGUUCAAUAUAUAAUAUACAAAGUUACUAAUUAUUAAAUCCAAGUGUUAAUCCUUUUGGUUGAAGUGGGCAAGCGUGAAUAAUACUUAGGACAGCUUGAAAGUAAAAUUUUCAUAUAUUUUGAGGAUGGUUUAGGUGGCCAAAGUGGGACUUCGCUAUGGUUCCCGUGGGGUGUGGGGGAGGGGGGCAAAGUGUUAUUUGACCUUAGUGUUUCGUUUGGUACAUUAAUGAUUAAGCUUUUUUUGUUUCCUCAACCAAAGGAGAAAAAAGUACGUCAAGGUUGUUAUAUUAUCAAAUUGCUUCUAGAAAUAAUACGUAUAAGAAUACGUUAUUCAUAAUUUACGUAUUCUUGUUAUAGUCUGAAGUUUAGUUAGGUUUCUGUUUUUAUUUAAAAUAGAUAUACACCUUUUUUGGUUCGACUAAAAUAAGACAUUUUUCUUUUUUUUUUUAUGCAAUAAAAGAUUGGAAAAUUUGAAAGACACACUCGGUAACCCCACCCCAAACAAGAGCUUUUGUGUUAAAUAAAACAAAUUUAGAGUUUAGCUUCUAGUGGUAGCUGCCCAAAUUGAUUAGAGUAAACUUUAGCAACAACACCUUUUAGGGGCCAUUACACCAAUAAUUGUUGGAUGAUAGGCUUCUGACGCAAUAUGAACAGCAAACGUAAAAAGCACAAGGGGCUCCAUUAGGUUAAUCCACUUAAUUCAGCAGAAACUAACCGUAGUUACUUUCCAAUAAUCUUCCCACUUAAUGGAACUAGUCUUCAUUUCCACUUCAAUCGAAAGAAAUCGACAAUUCAACUUACAAGAAAUCAACUAGUAGUAGUAGGUCUUAUCAAACUCAAAAGCAAAUGGCUAAUCUAGAUCAUGCACGCGAAAGGAAUAGAUAAUGCAUGAGCUGCUCAUCGCCUGUUCAGUCACGGCACAGCACAUUGGAGUUUUUGCACAUACACCAAUAGUUAAUGUGCCAAAAAUCAGGUUGGCCUUGUAUGAUCAAUGAUUUUCAUUAUUAGGCUAUAUAUUAGGUUUGCCGACCAAUUGCAGAGAAGGUCUCUUCAAGCCAAAUCCAGGGUCUCCUCAUCAAAUCAUGAUAGUACCAAACCAUUUAUGAGAUUGAGAUGUUUUUUAUUUAAAUUUGAAUUAAAUUUCUGGGGCCUAUUUCAAAAGGAAGUUAUUACUAGCUUUGUGAUCAUAAUCGACCAAAGCCAGCGGAUAAGUUGUCUUGUACGUAUACAAUUAAACGUCCUAAAAUUAUAAAUCCCAUCAGAUUUUGGUAUUAAUAUAAAAAUCAAACAAAGUGAAUUCUAUCAACUUAUUUGUCUUCUGCUUUCUUUUGCCUCUAAUUAAUAUCUCAAGUGUUAGAUUAAUGUUUUUGCUUAUCGACGACAUAAAAAAAAAGAGAAAAAAACUAGUCAAAACUCAAAAAAGAUGUAACCAAAUGGACGCAUGGUUUUGCAAAUUCUCCGCCACCGCUAUAACUCCUCUGACAAUUUGGAUUAACUUUUUAUGUACUGAUAAUAUGGUGAUUUUUUUAUACUAGUAAUUACGGAUGUACACCACAUGUGGAUGAUUUGAAUUUUAAAUUUAAAUUCAUAUCAUAUGACAAUGAUAUGAACCUACUAAUCUAAAAAAAAAAACAAUGUAUCCAGACGAUGCAUAAAAACUUACUUUAACAAUUUUGGAUCGAUAAAUUCAACAAUAAUUAUAAAAUAAUUAUUUAACACCCUCUAAUACCUAUAUAUAUAUAUAUAUAUAUAUAUAUAUAUGGGCAUAAAAGAUAUUGUUACUAAUUUAUGUAGAGUACUAUUCUUUAUAUAUAAAAAAAAAAACAUUAUGUGCGUCCAAUGUAUCUUUACUAAUAAGAAUGUGUAUGAUGAUAAAAAUUGACUCAAGGGAAACUAUAUAUAUGAGUUGUUAAACGUCUAUCUGCGUUACACUUUCUUUAAUCCUUUUACAAUUUUUUUUCUUUUUUUCUUUCCAUUAAAACAAGAGGUUGUCUGACCAGAGCAUUGACGGCAGGAAACUAGGAAAGAUAAAAAAAGGCUGAAGUCACUAAGAGCGACGCAAAAAAGAUGAUCAUGUCGAUCGUGUGAGCAACAGAUCUCUUGGACCGGCAUUAACUUGAAAAGAUUGAAGGAACCAGAGCCCUUGACCGCAUGGCUGUAGAUCUCGCAUUUGAAGUCCAAAGUAUACUUAGAACAAGAUGUCCACAUAAAUCCUGUGAAAUGCCCACGUCUACGACCGAAGCCUUGCGUGUACGAUCGAUCAUGAUGGUCUUUUUCAUUUUUGGGGGGGGGGGGGGGGGGGGGGGGGGAAAGCUACGAUCGUGAUCUUGUUAAACCUUGUGACUUUUGGGCAUACUUUUUAGCUGCUUGUUUGCAUGCGGCCGCUUAGAUCACAUUGCAGCAAUUGGCAAAGACCAAAUGGACUCCGACAAAAAUCCCCAGUUGGCACAAGGGAAGAGGCCAACCUAAGCAUUUCUUUUGCUAGGCAAAUUCUACACGAAGGGGUUUUCGGCUGACCGUAUAUAUACGUUACAUGUAUAAAUUCUACACGAAGGGGUUUUUUUUUUUUUUGGGAUGUAAACCCUUUAGCGUCGGAUGGCCUUGCAUUGGAUUUCGACUAAUUUUGGAAUCAAAGUACUGUUGGAUCCUUUUUGGGGUGACUCUCCCAACCUUAUUUUCUCUAUCUACAAGAUUUGAAUAUAAUAUUUAUCUUGAUUAAACGCUGUCAAACUCUUUGUUACUCGACGACAACCGCUGGUAUCCAUUAGAGGGACAUGUCAUGAGAAAAUUUUUCCAUUUUUUUUUUCAAAUAAACUCAUUAUAUAUAUAUAUAUAUAUAUAUAUAUAUAUAUAUAUUUUGCUGUCCAUCCAUAAGGGAUUAAGGCCUUGUUUGCCUACCAAGUUUUUGAAGCAUAAUGGUGAGUUUCAAUGAGUCAUUCUUAACUCAUCACAGUAGUUGUUGGAAUCCAAAACCAGUCCAUGUAUUAGGUCAGCCACCUUGACAAGAAGGCAUACCAAAUGUAUUAGCACCGCUAAUUGGCAUUGAGUAUUGACCACUAAAUUCUUGAAUUAUCCUAUGGCGGCCACCAGCACCACUACUGAUCACUCCAUUAUGAAAAUAUGAAUACGCCAAGUAUCGGAAGCGUUGCAAUACUGGUCAGAGUUACGUCUCAUGCCAUCAAUCGUCCCAAAGUAGGGCAACCAAGUAUGUGCUUAGUUGAACUAAUCACUACUGCUUCUGGCUCAUCAUGCCUGCCCACACAAGGUUAACUUUUGUGGUCCAUCAAUAAUGCCCCAGAAGUAAUGUGCUUUGAAAGAAGUGGUUGGCUUGGCUUGAUUAAUACAUAUGUGGUUUAAAUUGCUAAUCCUAGUGGUGCUCAUACCACUAACUGGAAAUGAAGUUCUUAAUGCCAAUCCAUUGGAUAUAACGUAUACACAACUGGUGCAAUUUCUUUGUCCCACGAAAACGAUUGAGUGACAUUUGGAUCCCACUCACGAUUAUACUUUAUUCGUUUCUUCUUCCAUUAUCUUCUCGACUAGUUUAUGUAUUUCGUACGAGAUCGCUGGUGGAGGUGGGGGAGGAGUUCCAAGGCCCUGUUAAAAAAAAAAAAAAAAAAAAUGUCGGAAUAAGAGCCAAAUUUGCUGCAGUUACGGCCUUGGGAAACGGUACAUAGUAAGUGGAGUAUAUAUUUAGUGCUUGAAACUACCAACAGGCUGUUGUACCCGAUAGACCGGUGUCUUGUUGGGGCACGUGGCUUGUAUCUGGAAAGGGUAGCAGUAGCAAUUAUUCUGCCUUUACGCGCAAAUACUAACACAAUAAAUAUAUGGAUAUUGAAAUAAUAAAUACAACAUAACAAAAUCCUAUACAUAAAUUUUAAUGAGUGGAAAAUUUUAUUAUAUUUUUUUACGUGUUAUUUGGUCAGUAUCUAGAGUUUUUAUAUUAGUAUUUACAUUAGCUUUUAAGUUCAAAAGAGGUCCGUAUUAUUAUUUUCGAAACUUAAAAAAAAGGUGAAUGUAACUAUUAGAAACCUCCCUUGGUAGUAUUUGCACUGUUACGGGUCAUUGUUGAGGUCUCGAUCCUGAUUGAACCCGCUUGGCUCAUGCUUUCGGUUGCGGCAACUCCAAGAGAAGUCACUUAAAUUCUGGAAUUUGCAGUUUCUGUAAUUCCUACGUAAUAAUGCACGCACUGACACGAUAAAAGUAGAUGACAAGGAUCUGUGCUCUUUUAACAAUUUUACUGUAAAUGUAUUUCAAGAAACUUUUCUUGAUGCCAGAUUUUUUAGGUGUUCUUAAGUUUUCGAAACUUUUCUCGGGAUGUUCUCAAGUUUUUUGAGGUGUUCUAUGUGUGUUUUUGGAAUGGUAUGACUCAGGACACAUACUACUAUAAAAUACACAUUUUUGCCAAAUAUGACAUUCUAUAUGGGACAGAAGUCGGUAAUAUGAAACACAAAACAUUAGUAACAAUCAAAAAAGUUAUGUCUCGUAACUAAUUUUUUGUUCAUUCAAUUUCAACCAAAUACAUUUUUACCAUCACUUUUAUGAUUCUAGAUGUUAGAGAGACGUAGCAAAGACCCCUGCUAACAAAUCAUAGUUAAACUAGACAAUGUAUAUUCAUUAGAAUACAUGCUCUCUACUGGUUACUGUAGAAAGAUUAAAAGUUCAGUCCUCCCAUCUUUCUCUCCUUUUUCUUAUAGAUGAGAGGUUUCAAAUAUUCAACCCUCUACUCAUAAUUCCUUUCAUCUUACCACUCAACUCAACCCUCCCUCCUGCUCCUAACGGCCUCCACCUCAAAAAAAUAAUAGCAUAGUUCAUGCAUUGAAUUAUGCGGUAGCAUCGGCAUCGGUUUAGUGAAGCAUGAAAUUAAAUUCUUACGCCUCAACGCUGAAUGAAAUUUGCAUUAAAAACCGUGGCAUCAUGAAAUCGAGUGUUUUUCUAAAGAUGAUGGUGUAUUUUAUGAGUGGUUAGGGUUGAUAGAAUCUUUUUAAGUGUUUUCCCUGCAGAGUAAAAUAGGAUCUAUCAGAUGAUAGAAUAGAACUAACAUAACCGAAAAUGAUACGAUGCAAGUACCAAGUAAGAACACUACUAUUCUUUCCAUUUUCUGUAAGGGUUGAGUAGAUAGUUUUACAACACAGGAGUAUGUUCCAUCUGUUAAAAUGAGAUGCCCACAUUUGCUUCAUAUGUAGGAUCAGACUAUUCGACAAUUACCUCAUUCAAUAACUUAAAGAUUUAAACUAAAUGUCCCCCCACACAGAGUAGUUAUUGAUUCUGCUAUUACUAUAGCGUUGUUAGACAAUUAAUUAGAUGAUGAAUCGAAGCUAAUAAGGUUGGAAAGCAAUAAAACUUGGGUUAAUAUCAGAAACCUCCCUUGAGGUUUCUUCUAAUCACACCUAGCACCCCUCAUGUUUUCGAAAUCACACUUAGCACCCUUGGAAUGACAACUUUGGUAUCAUUGUCAACCCCUCAUUAUAUUUGUUCCACUUUUACGCUCCUUGUGAACUCUAUUUAUGUAACUCACAUCCCACCAACUUUGGUAACACUACAAAAUCGUGCCUGAACAGUGUAACAUGUUUUGAAUAUUUUGUAAUUUUAUGUAAGCUUCUUGUACAUCUUUAUAAUAGAUUGUGUUUCUGUUAUUAAGUUUUACAAAUAAUUCACAUAGAGUUACACAUUGUUUAAAAAAUAUUACAUUGAUCUGAACGGAGAUAAAAAAAAAUGUGAAUAUGAAUUCUCAUACUGGCAACAAUAGUUUCAAUAUGUGGUUGUAGUUGUAAAUAAACUUGCUCUUCCAUUUUUGUGAAAAUGAGGUAGUAUAAAUAGCUUUUUGUGCAUCCUAGUUGAAUGGAGUUUGUAAGUUAUUAAUAUUGCAAUACCCUAUUGUCAAGUAGAAAUGGCUUACUAAUGCUAUAUACUCAUGAAUUCCCAUCAUCUUUGAAUUACUUUUAGAUUGUGUUAUUAUUCACUUAAGAAUUGCAAUUUUGGCAAUGACACUAUGUCCAUUGCCAAAAGUUAACAUCACUGGAAACUCCGUGACUAUUUAAUAUUAGGGGGUGGGAUAGGAACAGUUGUUAGAUCAACCAUCCUUAAAUAGUGUAACAUUUUUUGAAUAUUUUGUAAUUUUAUGUAAACUUCUUGUACAUCGUUACAAUAGAAAUGUGACAAGUUGUUAGUGUACAUAUGGGUCCAAUAUGUAAUAAUCAUAUCUGUGUUGGUAAGUUUUACAAAUAGUUCAAUUAGAGUUACACUUUGUACAAAAAAUAUUACAUAAUUACAGAAUAGUUUUACAUAAUUUAGGGAAAACCUCAAGGGAGGUUUCCGAAAUUAACUCUACAUAAAUAGAGUUCACAAGGAGGGUAAAAGUGGAACAAAAAUAAUGAGGGGUUGACAAUGAUACCAAAGUUGUCAUUGCUAAGUGUGAUUUUGAAAACAUGAGGGGUGCUAAGUGUGAUUAGAAGAAACCUCAAGGGAAACUGGCCGACAACAGCACUUAACUUGCCCACACAGUGCAGAUCAGCCCCGAACGAUGCAAGAGCUAAAAGUUCCUUAGUAGCCCAAGGGAAUUCUACCCAGGCCUACAUGUCCACACGCAAACUGCUGGACCCAGGCUUCAAUGUUAAGCCGGACGGUCGGUCUGGGUUUGAUGAUUCUUACCAUUUACAGGCCAGCACGCUUGUCAGUUUAUCCAACACCAAUUAUACUGUAGCCCAACUGAGAGACCAAAGCAGUGGCGAUUUUUUAUACCAUAGCUGAACCGAGCAAGACGUUCUUUUUUUCUUUUUUCUUUUUUUUAAUUACUCCCAACUUUUUGAACCAAAUGGUAGAUAUUCAAUGAAAUUGCAAAAUUAUUUUCACAAUCAAGUUCAUGAGAUUCUACAAUCCCUUUUGGUAUCGCACUCUUAGAUUAAAUUCACCGUUAAAUAGUGAAAUAAAUAUUUUAGAGUCCAUUUGAAUUGCUAUUUUUUAAAAUUUUUGUAAAAAAAAAAAACUAUAAAAAUGUUUUGCAUAUGAAGUAAAUAAAAAAAUGAUUAAAAAAUAUGUUUGUCAAAAUUAUAGAAAUUUUUUGAAGAAAAAUUACAAUGCAAACAAGACCUCAACUUUUAGAUUAUAAAAAUAUGAAAUAUUUAAAAUAUAAAAUCACUAUCUUUAUCGAUGCAUAUACAUUGAGAGAUUGGUUCUCCAAUCAGAUCGCAGAGUUUCCUCAAGUUCAAUAGUUUUAUACUAAAUUAUGUUUCUAAUAUGAAUUUCAUUUUGCUGUAACUCAGAAAUAUUCUCCACAAUCCGUUGUUUCUUUUGUUAUAAAUAAAGACUCAAAUACAUUUGUUUAAAGUAUGGACUAACUUGCAUGGAUAUUUGAUAUACAGUAUUCAGCCACUCAGGUCCGUAUAUACAUAUAGCUUCUCAGCCCUCUCUCGAGGGAUGUAGAUGUCAAAAGGAAAGCGCCAAGAAAGGGGGAAGAGAAGCACACCUGGUUGCUAGGACUCUGUGGUUAUGGAACAAAUCGCUCAAAAAAAGGCAAGACAACCAUUAAAGCGCAGUUCACAAAGGCCAGUUUUAAAGCACCAUUUUGCCAAGAGCUUCGCAUGAUGAAGAGUCUCUGAAACUAUUUAUGAACAGUUCAUUCACAUCUACUGUGUUUCUUCACUUGAAUGGCCAGCAGAUACAACCUAGUUAACCUAGUUGACAUACCUAGCCUCAUUUGCAAAAAGAAGAGCAUCUGUACAGCAAGAAGUUAAUGCAAAAAACCGGGAAGAUGUUACAAAAAUACUAAAACAUAUUCACCGUUGUCGAGCAGCUUUCUUGUCCUUCGGCAGUGGAGUCUUGGAUUGUGGUUUAGCUGAUGCAGUUUUUACCUUCAGAGGGCGUUUUACACCUUUCUUUGCCGUCAAUAACGACUGAAGCGGAACAUUAGCAUCAGGAUCACCUGGUUUAGGAUGUACCUUGGGAGCGUUAACAACAAAUUUCUCAGCUUUGUCCAGCUUAGCUGAUUGUUUGGGUUGACUUGGGCGACGACGGGCACUCCGUGGCUUCACAGGAGGAUUAUACAAUGAUCGCAUUGGAAGGGAUGCAGAAGUAGCUUUGUUAUAAGAACCCUUGAAGUGCUGUCGAUAUGCUUUCAGUACAAUAUCUCUCAGCGCCACUGCCGAUUUAUACUCCCGUGUCCUUUUUGAGUAAAACACCAGGGCAUUAUUUGCAAGCAAAAGCAAGUCUCGAAAGAGCUCUCUUGCUGAGUGGAUGGAACAGCUGACCAAUCUAGAUCUUAUCAUGUCAAAAUCCAUAUGUUGCCUGAUGAUUUUCUUGUAUCUUGCUCUCUUCUGUUGUGGGUCACAGAUACAAAUUCAUUUGAAAAAUUACAGAAGAUUUGCGCAAUAGGGUUUGGGACAUAACCAACAAAGUUUGAGUAUUUACUAAAGCAAUUACCUGACUAUCAAGCCGAUGUCUAAAGACAAAAGCUACCUUGUACUCCGCAAUAGAAUUGAAAAUGCCGAUCAAACAAUCACUUCUCAUCUGGCAUGCACCUUUGGUGUUGCCAUCUCUACCGGGAAGCCUAAUAGUCUGAUCACAAUCACUUGUAGAAGUUUCCUUACAGCGAGAACUAGAUACUACAUUAGUUGACCCAUGGUUGUCACUCUCACCAAUGCUUCCUUCUUUGGCUUCUAUGUUACAGUCUUUCCUCUUCCUCAUACCUCUUCUUUUCCUCGGAGUCCCUCCCUCUCUAUUGCCAGUCUCUACCAGCUUUUUUGUGUGUAAAUCCUUCUGUUCCUCCAAAGAUACUGAAACUUCUUGCUUAAUAUCUGUCCCUGCACAUGAUACUAAGACUGGAAUCUGUCGAUACAAUGACCAGCUAAUGCUUGUAUCUUGGGUGAAGCUACUGGCAGAGAGUCCAUCCUUGGAUGUCUCCUUGCCAAAAGAUUCGUUUCCAUCUGAUCUUAAAAGAGGAGCAGGUGAUUCAGUCCCAUUAGAGCCACAAUCAGCUUUGCUGGAGUGUCUUUUCUCAGCCUUGAGAAUUUCAAUCUUCGUCUCAAGCGAUCUGCAGUUAAGAACAAAAGCCAAUUUAAUACUAUGAUAAUGAUGAACAUGAUGAUAACGAGUGUAAGUGUGCGUGUGUGUGUGUGUGAGAGAGAGAGAGAGAGAGAGAGAACAAUUUCAGUUAGACACUAACUAAACCUGAACAUCACAUGCUUUCUGAAAAUGUAAAAAUACAUCAAACAUCAUAUACAGAUGUGCAGUUUCUCUGCUUACACCACCUGUUCUGUAAAGCAAUCUACUUGUAACUUGAAGCACCCAAUCAACACGAAACAUUCAGGUAAGAUGACAACUUGGACUGCCAGCUGUGGCAGAGCCACAUGGAACUGAGGGAGGGCAAUUGUCCCCCCUCAAAUUUGAUAAAAUUAUAUAAUGGCCUCGAAACUCUCUAAAAUUUUCAAGUUUGCACCCCCUGAAAUUUAUAAAAUUAUUACCUUUAGUUGCAUUGCCUUCUUUAGAUUUAAGAAAAUUCCUUUCUAUACAUGGAUAUAUCCUUUUGAGUUCUAUACAUUCCCUCCCUUAUUCUAUAUUGACCCCCUAAAAAAUAAGAUUUUUACUUAUUACCUCUAAAAUGAAUUUUGGACCUAUUCCAUACUAAACAUUGACACCGCUUUAAUGAGGAAGAAGUAUUUGGCCUUUCAAAUCGAAGUACAAAGUACAUCUUUUAUAUAAAUUUCAAAGCAUGAUUUAUGCUAAAGUUAACCAUUGCAUCUCCUCACCAUAGGAUCCUGGCUCCGCCAUUGACUGCCAAGAUGUACUGCCUCCAACUCUAAUUAAAUGUCUUAAAACUCCUCUCAAAAUAACUUUCAUUUUCCUCGCACGAACUUUAUUAGUAAAGGUUGCUUCUUUUUUCAUAUUAUAUACCAAAAUAAGUGGAACCACAUGUUAAUUUCAGUUAAAUUUAACUUAUGUGUUGGAGUCACGUAUUCACUCUUUCUCGAUGACCUGCCCUAUGUGUUUAACUAUUCAUAAUACCAAUACCAAACCAAAGUACGAAAGUAACGAAACACAAUUUGGUCCGAAAAGUUCUUAAUAGUUCAUAUUUAUUAUGUAAUUGAAGUGCCACCAUAAAAAAGUACAAGAAGUCUAUGAACUUGACCAAAUUUUCCUUUUCCAAUUCUUUUAUCUUUUCACCAGGAGAAAAAAAGAAGGGGGGGGGGGGUUGGUUGCUUGCCGUGCAGCAGAGGAUAUAGGUAACCCAUUUUGUUUGACGAAAACUUGACUAGAAAGUAGUUUGGUUACUAGACUUCAAUUUCAUCAGCACCAACAUGAAUCGAAAGAAAAAAGUUCACUAACCCAAUUGAGUCCUCAGAUUUCUCCAAUUCUCUCUUCAGUUCUGCAACUCGUCUCUUUCGUAGCUCAUCAAACCAAGCACUGAUACAGGACACCCAACAAGUAAUAGAAAUAAAUCAAAACCCGAAUAUGAAUCUCAUUAUAUUCCUAGCUGCUCUUAUUUUUCCAAAAAAAAAAAAAAGUGAAAAUGUAAGAGACAGAUUGGAAGCAAGAAAGGAGGGAGAUAACAGUCUCAAUGCCGUACACCCAGAAGCUUAAACGUGUUGCAAGAAUAAUAGAGCCUGUUUUUACAGAAAAACAAACCUCUAUUUACUUAGGAAAACAAGGACACACACCAAAAAGUUACUUCUAAUAAAUCAAACUUUAGUAGCAAUCUCCAGAGUUAUAAAUCUGUGUGUGACAACUGAAUUACCAUUAUUCAAUAAAUUGAAUCACCAUUAUUCAAUAAAUCAAAAGAGCUGAGUCCCACUUACUUGGAACCAGAAUAACGCCUUCUUAGGUCCUCAUACUUGGCCUUGCAGGCCUGUAUUUCAAAUUGAAGUUUUUGUCAGAUCGACCAUAAGCUUGAUCAUACUAAACUGUACACAUGUACACGAGGUUGAAAGAAAUAAUGCAUUGCAUCUAAGUAACACCCAUGAGAACAACAAAUUUAAUGAGUUUUAGCCAACAACCUUCCACUAAUACACAAUUAUUUUAGUUAUCAAACUGAUAUCUAUUGGGGAUGAUAAAUGCAACUAACUGUGAUAAAUGCGUGUUUGGUAUCAGAGCAUAUAAAAUUCUUUGUUUAAUUAUUAUUAAGAGAUAAUUAAUUCUAGGAGGGGUUAUGGCGCAAAAGCCAAAAACUCUUUAAACUUUUCCUGGCUAUUGUGAGUUUCUUCAAAGUAAAAAUUCUUUGUUUGGAGAAACCAAUAGCUACAAGUGGAUAUACUACCAUGUGCACGAUUGAUGAUACUCUUGAGAAGGGUACAAGCAUUCACGACAUUGGUCUACCAGCCUAAGUCUAUCCAAUCACUUCUUCCUACAAUUCUGCUAUAAAUGGCUUCAUUAACGGGUUUUCUUUUCUUUUCCUCCCCCACCCACCCCCAAAAAAAGAAUGUUGUCUCAGAAAAUUUGUCAACAUACAUAUUAAUUUUCUGUGGAACCACAUCGAUCAUCAAGCUCGAGAUGAAGAUCAGGCCCAUAAUUUCUUCAAAUAACAUCAUCCACCAACAAAAUGGAUUACUACAUCACAUCCAAAUUUGAAAACAAAUUCCACGUCAACAAUUACAAAGGAAAAAAAACGAAACAAAAGUCUCAUCACAAAAUUUACAACAAUUUAUAUGAUUAUCACUGUUUACAAAGGUGGGCCAUAACCACAGCCAACGGUGACGUUAAUGGGGAAUAUUUUAGUUAUUCAACAAAUUCUUGAACUACUAAUUAUUCCUUGCCACAAAACAAGGUUCACAUUUGAUACCAUCCCCAACAUAAUAUAAUAUGACCAAAUUGCAUUUACCUUUAAUUAUGUGUGGUCCAAGAAGACUUUGGACCAUGUGUAGCUAAUGAUUACUCUAAAUCGCAAUAAGGUAUUCCUUAAUCCUCAUUCCCUAACCACCCAAGAGUCAAAUUGGACCUUUCCAUAAAACUAAGACUCCAAAUUGACCAAUCAUUCAUGACUUGUGACUUGGGAAGCUACGGGUUGCCUCCCCAUUUCUCACAUAACCACCACCAAAAUAAAGAGUAAAUUUGAAACUCCAUAAAGGGCAGAAAAAAGAAAGAAGAAGAAAUCAGGAGGGCUAUAAAGGAAAUAUGCAAUAAAUGACUCAGUCCACGUGGUACAAGCAAGCAUAAAUAAAUACUCUGCUAAUAUUAAUCUCUGUCCCCUUUUCUUAAGCCCCAAGGCAUAUCACGACUUAUGUUUAUCCUCUACCUAAUAAUUUUAUAGCCAAGUGAAUAAUUUCAUAUUAUCAAAUGCUAAGACAUGGCCCUACAAAAUCUAUCGAGCAACUAACUUCUUAACUAAAUGUAAAUAUCAUAAUUAAUUCCUCAACACGCACUUACUGUACUAGAUUACAAGAAAAAACAUCAUUAACAUUUCAAUAACUUAAAAUCAAAAUGAAGCCAAAAAAUUAAAAAAAGGAAUAACGUGUGGGGGAAAAUGAAAGGACCUGAGGGGUAAAGCAAUAGGGGUAGAGGGUGCGGGCACGAAGCUCGGAAGCGACGACGUUCCAGUCUUGGGUACCGUGCCUCAACACAGCGCCUCCUAGGAUAAGCUCCUCCCAUGUGCCCCACCUCUUAUCGGGGCCCACCACCAUCGCCUCCGCUCCCAUCUCCCGCCUUCCACGUGUACGACCACGAUCAAAAGUUAGCCGCCCAAGCAAAACAAAACACACACCCACCUCUCUCUCUCACACACACACUCUCAAAUCUUAAAAGCUUUCGAAUUUCAACAUCUUAACAUGCGCACCACCGGCGCACGUUAGUAAUCACCCUUCUCUCUCCGGUGUUAAAAAAAAAAGAAAAAGAAAAAAGCCAAAAGACAGAGACUGGAGACAAAACAACCUCGAAAUUUCCAGGAUUCUACAAAGGCUAAAAGGGCAAAAGCCAGGGAGAUAGAUAAGGGCGCGUUUGGUUCUCGACAAACUUGAGGACAUAAAAAGGACCGUGAAGCGUGCUAAGGGUGGUUUUGUGGAGGUGGUUUAGAAGAGAAAUGGUUGUUUUGGUCAUGGAAGGUGGUUUUCCGGCCAGAAUUUUUUUUUCCUCAAUUUCCAAAAAAAGAAAAGAAAAGAGAAGAUAGCAUAUAGUAAUAAUAAUUAAAACUUUUAAAUGAUGGGGAGAAAAGGAGACGACGAAUUCUAGAAGGAGAAAAGGAUGUACUUAUUGUAGCGAAAUGAAUGAUCGGCGGAGAUGGGCAUCGAGAGAAGCAAGAAAUGGAUGAAAGAAAUGUUGGAUGGGUGUGGGUGUGUGUGUGCGAAAAGAGGGUGGUGGUGUGUGAUUUUUUUGAGUUGGGGUUAGCCUGGAAAUUCUCUUCGUUUCCCCCUCUUUUUUCUCUCUGUCUUUUUCUAGUACUAGUACGAGGGAAGGGAGGCAUAAUCAAUCAAUAAUGGUGCCUUUUACAUGUAGAUUCUCUUACCAUAUUUGUCCCCCCUCAUAAUCUUUAAUGACAUGCAUAUCCCCAGUUCAAAUGAAGAAGAUUGCCGACUAGGAGGGUGGCACAUACUAUUUGGCCAUUCAAGAUAAAAGGAGGGACGCAAAUUAAUUACCAUUUUUUCUGUCUUUUUUUUUUUUUUGGGGGGUGACUUUAUAGUUAACUCUCUUUUCUUGCAGCCAGGGGACGUUAAGACGUAAAAGUUGUAAUUGUAGUAAUAAAAAUCCAAUGAAAACACAAGAAAAUUUAAAAAAAAAAAAAAAAAAACGGUGAGAAGCAGCAAUCAUUAAUGGGUUUUCAGCUUUCAAAUUUAAGGUAUAAUUAUGUAAGAUCUGAAAUAAAAAAGUACAGGAGCUACAUACAUAUAGAAAGUGUAGUAUAUUGAAAUUGUAAUUCAUCUCCAAAAAUAUUUCUAAUUAUCAAUCAAUUACUUCUCUGCUAAGAAAUAAUAUCUUCUAAGAUAAAAAGAAACUUAAUUGUCACAAAAGAUGAGUAGUAAAGCGCUAAACUUCGUUGCUUGAACUCGUGGACUUAUGUGUCAUAAGCGAUGGAGCAUCCAAAGCAAAUAAAUAACUAAGAAUCGAGUAAACAUACCUUCUUAAUUGUCACAAAAGAGAUAGUAAAGCUCUAAACUUCGUUACUUAAACUCGUGAACUAUAAUUAAGUGAUAAAAUUUUAAAACUAUCACGGACCUAAAGUAACAUCUCAAAAUCAAGUAACCCAAUUUUUAAUUAAGACGGUUGGAAUUUCUGCCCUACAAUUCUCAUAGUCUAAAACUUUUUUAAAAAAAACUCUUGAAGGACGUACAAAAAAAAAAAAAAACGAACUUGCAUCUCAAAUUUUAUUUGCAAUGAAUGAAUUGACCCAAGAUUUUAUUAAUUUGGCUAAUAUUCCUCGAAAGUCUCUGUGGAACAUUUUUUCUAAAUUUAUUUUUAUUUUGUUAAAACACCCAUAAGCCAAUACCUUCGAUAGUUAGUUCAAAUUACAAAUACUUACAUCCUCGAUAGUUGCAACUAAAAAUAUUUUCAGAAAAGUCUGAAUAUUAGAAUACAAAAUUCUUUGACUUACGCCUAAAUAGUACGAAAUACUCUGUUUACCGCUCUAAACCACCAUUUUUAAGGAUUUGAACACUAAUAGUAGAAUAGAAUCUUCGAGCCUUGACCUAAUACAACUAUUAUGUCAUUGACUUGAUAUGUCAUAGUAUAAUCAACUCUCAAUUCUCAUAGUAUAAUAAUUUCGCAUAUUAACUGUUUCCAUGUCCGAUGAAAGAUUAGGAGCAAACUCCUGCGUGGAACUCGAGCCUAAACGACAUUAGCACGUGCUUUUGGAUGUCAAUUACUAUUUGGUACGGCGCACACGGGAUCAAGCCUUCGACGUUCGCUGCUCCAAAUCCGAAAAAUAUAAAGCCAUGUCAUUGCUGCGUGCUUGCAAUUUUAGGCUUAAAUAAAUUUUGACCCUUUGUAAUUAAGUGGCAGUAGCAAAUCGCUCCCGUGUCUGUGAAAUCUAUAAAUUAACCCCCGAUGGUAUGGUAGUAGUCUAAUGUAUUUGUUGGAUAGCAAAAAUAUAUGAUUAUGUCCUCAUUGUUAAAAUAUUGUUCAAUGAUCGUUUGUCCUUUUCUCUUGCCUCUUGCUAUUAUUCUUAUUAUUGUUUAAAUUUCUUUCUUACUACGAAAUACAAAUUUUCAUAAUAAAAGAAUUAAAGAAAUUAUCAUAAGAAAUUUAAAAGAAUAUAUUUAUUCUAAGUAACUCCUAUUUUAUUAACAAAUUCUGGCUUUGCAUUAAUUGUUACUAAAAAUUUAGCAUACAUGUUUUACUUCUAUUUUCUCUUUUUCUUCGUCUACUUUUUCUCCUUUAUGCUUAUUAACAAUUCAUUUGACAUACAUUUGCCUAGCAGGGGAUUAAGCCCGCAAUAUUAUCAGGGUAUGUAUUGUGUUAGUAAGUUAAAAAAACUACUACCUUUUUAAGCAUCAACUAACAUGCAUGGUAUAAAUGUUCACAAUAACCAUCAACUCUAUGUACUAUUUGGAAACCUCUGCAUAGAUAAUCGAAUAACCAAUUUAAAGCCAUAUAAUUUUCAUUCCAAUUCAAGAAAAGGGGGCAUGAUUCGAGACCUUUCAAACAAAUACAUCGUAUGGUUUGGUCAAGAUUUUCACAUGAAUUACACCAAUGGUUGAGAGAUUUCAUCUCAAUUUAUAAUUAAAAUCUAUACUAAACGGUCUUAAAAUGCACGUCUAGUUGUAAAUUUUUAACGACGACUUAAUAAGGUGGAUAAUACUCGUGCCUGUAUUCUUGAGGCCUUUAUGCGGUCAUAUCUUAAAGAAAAUGCAUUUUUCCUUUGGCUUCUUUAUUCCGUUCCUUUUUUAGGUAUCUUCCAGCUUCCAAAACAAGCAGAAAAAAAGACAAUAUAAAGUGACAUCCAAAUAUAUUAGCUAUAUGUAUUUGUUUCAUAGAUUAUUUUCAUCUCUUACUAGGUUGUAUUUUAUACGAUUUCAAACAUAUGUUACCAAUUGAAAAGAGCUCAUUCUAGAACAGUAAAAAAAAAAAAAAAAUUCAAAUUGCUGGUAUAUUUUAAGUUGCAGAAACGAGGCAAGUUCAAAAUCCGGGUGAGCAGAAGGACGAUUUCGAGAAAAAAAAAGAAGAAGGACGUUUGUUGAAAAAAGAAGGACGAUUUCGAUUUCACCUUUUCUGUAAAGUUCUAUGGACCCUAAGCUGAUUUUGUGGAUGCCAUGUUCGCUCGUACCCUUUCCCGCUACCAUUUCUCCACUCGUGCCACACUGAAUUUGAAUAAUACAAUCAACGGCUGCCUCCGUAACGGAAAUUUAAACGCUGCCCGCCAAGUUUUCGAUGAAAAUCCUGAGUCCAGAAACAUUGUCUCCUGGAAUUCAAUAAUUACUGGAUACAUGAGGCACAACCGUUGGCGACGUGCCGAAGAGUUGUUCGACCAAAUGCCCCAGAAGGACGUUGUUUCAUGGAACACCAUGCUUUCUGGCUUCCGCCAGGCCAACCACCCAGAAAAAUCUUACCAGUAUUUCAUGAAAAUGACCAGGGCCGGCGAGAAACCCAAUGAACUUACUUUUGCAGUCUUGAUUAGCGCAUUCUUGAACACGGGUUACAGUUUCUUGACCCCUCAGCUUCACUGUCGAGUGCUUUCUUCGGGAUUGAAUCUGAAUGAUUCUCUUGGGUCAGCAUUGAUGAGAGGUUACCUAGACUUGGGCGAUCGAGAAGGGUUGUGUCGAGUGUUUGAUGAGAUUUUGGUGAAAGACGUGGCGCCUUGGAACGUGUUGAUUCUUGGUUUUAUGGAAUUUGGGCUAACCAGUGAAGCUAAGAGGGCAUUUUAUCUGAUGCCCGAGAAGAAUGCUUUCUCGUGGAGUACUCUCAUUAAUGGAUAUGUCAAGAAUAAGAUGCUAAGUGAAGCCCGCUCUGUUUUGGAUACGAUGAGUGAAAAUGAUGUUGUUUGUUGGACUGCAAUGAUAAAAGGGUAUGUACAGUGGGAGGAUUUUUUGGAGGCUUUGGGAUUGUUUAUCUUGAUGCUAAACUCGGGGCCUAGGCCUAAUCACUUCACAUUCUCAUGCGUGCUAGAUGCCUGUGCAGGCUGCUCUUCUCUCCUCAUAGGCAAUCAAGUUCACUCAUGUAUACUUAAGGUUGGUACAGUGCUUGAUGUCAUCUUGUCGACUUCCCUUCUUGACAUGUAUGCAAAGUGCGGGGAUAUUGAGGCAGCGUAUUAUAUAUUUCAAUCCAUGUCAGAAAAGAAUCUGGUCUCCUGGAAUUCUAUAAUUGGUGGAUAUGCAAGGCACGGCCUUGCCAAAAGAGCAUUGCAAGAAUUCGAGAGAAUGGUGAAGGAAUCAAUCAACCCUGAUGAAAUUACGUUUAUUAAUGUCCUUUCGGCUUGUGGGCAUGGAGGAAUGGUUGAAGAGGGUGAACGGAUAUUUAACUCCAUGAAUUCAAAAUACGGAGUAAAACCAGGGAUUCAGCAUUUUGCUUGCAUAGUGGAUUUGUAUGGAAAAGCUGGGCAGCUCAAGAAAGCAGAGGAAUUUGUUAGGGGAAUGCCUUUUGAGCCUGAUGUGGUUGUAUGGGGGGCAUUGCUUGGGGCCUGUGGCCUACAUUCUUGUUUGGAAAUUGGCGAGUCUGCUGCCAGCAGAAUUUAUAAAUUGGAACAAGACCAUCCUGCUGUAUAUGCAAUGCUAUCCAAGAUGCACGGUGAAAAUGAAGUAUGGAAUACUGUAGCUCAGAUGAAGAAGAUGAUAAGAGUUAAGCGUGCUAGGAAACAGAAGGCUGGUAGUUGGAUUGAAUCUUAAACUUGUCUAGUCUGUCCUUUCACAUUUUAAUUCCUGGUUAUUUGGGUUAAUUUCUGGGCAUGUUGUGAAUCAGUUACAAGGGGAUGUGGUAGCUUGAGUUAGGGCUGUGUUUGUGGUUUCAGGGCCUGUCGAGCAGCAGAGGUUUUCACUUAGACGCAUCAGAUUUCCAGCUUUAAGAUCCCUACUGUUCAAUGGAGACAGAACAAAACAUUUAAUAGCUGAUACACAUUCUUCAGUUUCCUGGUAUUCCAUGCAACGCAUCCUGAGCCUCAAACCAUAGUUUUCAUCCCUGAUGCAAGUAUUUCGGGUCAGAGAGCUGCGACUUUCAAUGCCUACUGCUUUGGUUUGAACUAGGCAUGACAUACUUGUUUGUAUUUUUUUCCUAAAGCAAACGCAUUGUACAUUGACUCUUGUUAAAUGAUAUGGACGAAAGGGCUUUCCUUCCCAUGAAUAGUAAACAAGAAACUCCAUCCCGUACAACGUCUUCCGCACUACUGGUCUGAGAUUGACGGAAAAUUCUGAAGAGCAGGUUCCACUAUGUAUGAAUCUUGGAGACUUUCAUACUGUAUUAGAGGUGAAAGUUGAAGCCCAUUACAUUGGCUUGUUUAAUUGUCCGUGGGUGGUACCAAAUUAGCCUAAUACUACAAGAAAAAUGUCAAAGCAAGCAGGACUUGUAAGGUAGCUGUUUGUUUUGGUCUUUUCUUUUAAUGUGGAGGGGAGGGACGGUCAGAAUCACACUUCCACGUGAGACUACAAGAUAGGAAAUAUAUUUCAUUGAUAAAUGGAGGCUGUAUACAUAUCAUUAAAUAUUACAAGCGCAUUUACAUAAAUUGACUUGUAAUUACAGGUUAAGUAAGACCACAAGUAUACAUGUAUGUAUGCUACAGCUGCAACAUCUUCCAAGGCAUCACUAAAAGAAAUUUACUACCUUUAUAUUGAGGACUAACACCUUGAACCAGGGAUAAUGGCUGCAGCUGAACAAAAUCCUCCUCAAGCUUUACCGCAUGGAGCAUCAAGCUUGUAUGCAUAGCUACCAAAAGGACUCAAAAAAGGUAGCCAGAGACAGACAUCAGCAUGACAAAAUUGUGAUGCUUCCCUCGUGUGAAAAGAGGCGGUCUGAAAGAAUUUUAUCCAAGGGGAAGCAAAAAGCAGUACAUUUCCUCUUCAUUGAAGUUAAUACCACAUAGAAGAGUAUAUUACGGUUCUCGAAGAACAAGGCUUAGUUCAUGUGCACAUCUUGCCACCACACCACCCCUCCUACAACCAAGAUCCAGAUAAAAACACAGAUGAGGAGCUAAUGGCUAGGACCAAUAAUAUAUGCGAUGAUAGAG